rnacentral:lncRNA from 1 species
GAGAGAGAGAGAGAGUAAAAAAAAGUGUUUCAUAAUCUCUUCGCUAAAACAACACAGCAAAAGAUAGAAACUGCUUGAUUACAGGAUAUUCUGAUGCCUAAACAGCAUGAGAAGGGAGCAGAGCCACAAAGAAAGACCAAUGACUCCAAUUCUGAGUUCAAUAGUAUAGGGGGCAAACUCUUAUUAAUUUACUCAAUCACUCCAGUGAUAGGAAGGACCAUUGCAAGGUGCAAUGAUGGAGUAGCAAGUUUUUUAGGCCAAAACAAAAUUAUAUAGAAUUAAUAUUAGAGACUUUUUGAAACAGAGUAGCAUUUUUGGAAUUAAUAUUAGAGAAUUUUAGCAUAGAGAAAGCCUCUUGCAAAUGAAGUGGUUUCCCUAAGUUCUAUAGGAAAUAUCAUUUCAUACACAUGCCACACGGAGUCGUCGACUUACAACCACAAAAACAAAGGUUCAAGUUGUGAGGACUGCAACCUGAUAACUUAUGUCAAAAUUCUCAUCCAGUGAAUGUAUGAGUAGAGUUUUAGGUUCCAUAACCAAGAAAAGCAGUAUGAGAACAAUUGGUGCAUACAACUUCAAAAGAAAGUACAUACCACGACACUGAUAUUCAAAAUGAGAAAGCACAUGAGAGGUGAUUUGAAGAUGCAGCCCAAAUCAAUCAAUAAUAUUCAGUAGAAAUCAUUUCAAACUUGCUUUGCUUUUGUAACAAUGAUGCGAGGAAGUGAUAUAUAAAUAAAGCACCCACUUGUUAAAUUCAAAUGUGAUUUCCAUUAUCAGACGGGCGAAGAAUUAGAGCCAUUUCAGCAUAUACCAACAAAUCUAGGAGUUGCACCACCGUAAGGUAUGUUUAGUGGUAGGCACAUGGAAAUUAAUAAAUAAAAAUUAAGUUAAUUCAACCAUGACUAAUGGACAAAUAUCAUUCCUCUUCUGCUAAUUGAUAUUUACCAUUUACACUAGUACUGGUAGAAGAAACUAAAUCAAAACCAACGACAGCACAGUAAAGUCAAUUUCAAUAGAGCAAAUGAAUUUGUAGAGCUGCUAAAUUACCUUGCAACUAGCAACUAAAUCCAUCUUUCAACGUCCAAAAAACCAAAAUUAGACCGCGGAUUAGUAGAUAAGCAAAGCAAGCACACCAGCUUGUACAGUCACGGAACAGCGAUCGAUCUAUUGAAAAAUAAACCUACCACACAACUUGAAUAAUUGGAAUUAUCAAUCUUAGAUGCAUAAUCAUUUAAUUACAAAAACGAACAGAGUAGAAAAUAAAAUCAAAUAAAAUAAAAAACACUUACGUAUUUUGAUGAUAAAAUUCAGUAAAAAAGAUAGAGAUUGGGGAUGAACUAGGGUUUCAAACGCGUUUUGCUUGUUUCAAGAAGGAAAAAACAACACACCAACAACUACCUUCUAAUUACAAAAGGUCCCGGACCUAUCGGCGAUUAUCAAAUCCGGUUUUUUUAACGGGAACGCGUCCGGGUUUCGUUUCUCUACUUUUCGCGUUUUGCUCUGCCUGCGUGUCGUGCGAUGAUGCACGCCCUUACGUUGUCUCUCUCUCUCACGUGCGAAUUUCUAGAGGGGAAUAAUUAACAUUAACAAAUAACAAACCCUUAAUUAGGGGUGUUCACGGUUCGGUUCGGUUUGGUUUUAACUUAAAAAUUCAACCGAACUGGAAAAUAAUAUUCCUUAUCAAUAUGACCCGGACCGAACCGAGAACCGGUUCAGACCGAACUAAUUUUGUGCGGUUCGGGUCGGUUUUUUAGUAUUAAAAACCGGAAAAACCGGAAACCAAUUAAAUAGGCUUUUUUUUUACUGUUGUCGUUAUACCAAAGCCUUGUAAUUCCUUCAUUUCACAAUGAAUCAAAGAUCAGAGAGAUGCUUAGAUCUGCAAAUGCAUGUGGAGCCAUUAUAACCACCAAAAAAGGUGCAAUCCCUGCUCUUCCAACACCAGAUGAAGUCCACAAACACAAAUUUCUAUUACUUUCCACUCAAUAAAAAAGGACUCCAUUCAGAUGAAAAGAUCUAGAUCGAGCUUGAAAAACUGAAACCGGUUCUUGAUGUGUGGGUUGUUGUCGGUGGUUGUUGAUUGGAGAAAAGUGAAGGUUGUGGAUGGCACUGCUAUAUGGAAGACGAUCUAGAUCGGGCCUGAAAAACUGAAACCGGUUCUUGAUGUAUGGGUUGUUGUCUGUGGUUGAUGAUAGGAGUAAAGUGAAGGUUGUGGAUGACGCUACCAUAUGAAAGACCAGAGAGUGGUGGUAGGAGGAGGUGAGAAGCUCUGGUGUAAAAAUUCAAAAAGAGGAUUUAAUGUUAGGUUAACAGGAGAGAAAAUGAGAGAGAGGAGAAGAGAAGAGAGGGAGGCGGCUGGAAAGUGAUGAAAUGAAUUAGGGUUAGGGAUGUUUGCUUUUAUACCUUGUUUUUUAAGUUUUUCAGAUUCAAUUGAACCGGUCCGGUUUGGUCCGGUUCAAUCGGCUUAAGCUUUUUGAAACCGAAACCGAACCGGACCGAGUGGUUUUGAAUAUUUUUUAAUCGAUUUAUUCGGUUUUUUCUAUCGGUUCGGUAUUUUCGGUUAAUUUUUUCUCAGUUUUUUCGGUUUAAUCGGUUGGUCGGUUUUUUUGAACACUCCUACCCUUGAUCAUCUGCGGACUCUUGACAUUUCACUAUUAACGUUACUGUUAAGAGUCAAUUUUUUCCUUCUUAAAUUCUAAAUUUCUUUCUUUAUACAGUUCAUUCACUUAGCUUUAUUCUUUUUAAUUUCAUCGUUUACACAGUUCUACAUACUGAUAUUUAUUUUAAUUUGUAUGAUCUCCUUACCUUAUAUUUUAUUAAAUAUUUCUACGUCUAAUUAAAAAUCAGUUUUACAAAAUUAAAUUUUAAAUUGUUUUUAAAUAGUUUUAAAUUUCAUGUUUCACACAAUUAGUUUUUUUAAUUUUUAUAUUUUAAUCAUAAAACUUUAUUUAUUUUUUAUUUCAAUCCAUGAACAUGGAAGGAAACAAAAAAUCAUCAAGAAACAAAAAAUAAGAGCGAAAACUCUCAAGUGACCACAUUUUAGCCACCAAUAACUAUGAUUUUGGUAUCUGUAAUAUUUUUAAGAAAAAUAACUUAAUGAAGGUGAUCUCUACCUUCAAUGAUGUCUAACAAUGUAGAUCCAUACUUGAUAAUUUUUUUGAUUUGAUUAGAUUUUAAAUUAUUAGUUUGAUUAAAAUAUAUUUUAUGGUUAGAAAUGAGGUUUUAGAGUUUCAUGUCUUGUUUUAUUUUUGUGUUUUUAAGUUAAAAAUGAUAAAGAUUUAGGCUUUUAGGAUCAAAAAACUUGGACUUGAUUUUUUCAUUACUAAAACCACCUUUGGUAGCCAUAUAACAUUAUAAAUGGAUGAUGGGUUAUUUAUCUAAGCAAACAACGUGUUAUCCAUUCAAUUUUAAAAAAUAAAGGCGGACAACGUGUUUGCUCUCUAAGAAACCUAGGAGCGCGGGAUUGAGAUUUUUAUUUAUAGGCGUUUGGCCUUUUUUAUAAUGUAAACACCUGUCAAAAAAAAAUAAUAAUAAAUUUUAUGUAAGGUGUAGAAAUUUAAAUAUACAUUGUGUGCAAACACGAAAACAAUCGCAAUGAGAAAUGGUAAGUAAAAAUAUUUGCGAUUAAAAAUUUAUCUGCAUUAGACCUUAAAUAAUUAAGAGAGUGGCAUUUUUGUAAAUAAAACAAAAACAACCCCUCCCUCUUUUAAAUAAUGAGCCAGCUAGAUUUAUUUAUUUCUUCUCAUUUUUUCUUUUGCUCUUCCCAAUCAAAAGGGUUAAGUUGUUUCAUGAAGGUGUUGAGUUAGGAUUUGAACAACCAAGUAAAGUCCAAAAGAAAUAAAGUGACGUGAAUAAUGUAGGUAGAGAGAGAAAGAGUGAUUUGAAGAGUGAAUGAAGAAAUCUUUGGAAGAGAUUGUGAAAGGAACUGGGCAAACUUGAUUAAUUGAUAUAGGUAAAGUAUCUUUCUUGAUUUAAUUUCAUUUAUGUUGUCAAAUUUUCAUAAGGAUUGAAAAUCCCUGAUAAUAUAUAAAUCAAAGUGUAUGUUGAAAUAGUGUUGGGAGAGAUCUUGCAUAUUGAUAAAUUUAUAUUGGUUUAAAUAAUGGGAUUAAGGGUGGAAAUGAAAGGGAAAAAAAAUCAAAUGGAAUGAGGUAAAUUGUAUGCUUGGGUGGCUGGCCAAGGGUAGAGGAAAAUAGUGGGGUUGUGACAUAAACUAGAUGAUGUUAACAUUGUUGAUUUAAUUGUGUUAUUAAAAAAGUUUGGGUUGGGUCAUGAUAUUUUAUAAAUUGUUAAGAAUAUGUCAACGAAGACUUAUUACAAUGAGAUUUAAUUAGUGCCAAUGUUUAGGUUGUGUUGUAAGAAUGAAUAAUAUAAGUACAAAUUUAUAUAGGUAAAUUGAAAUUUGAUUUACAAAGAGUAUGUGAGUGCAAAUGUGCAAGUUAGAUUGUAAGAAAAGUUAGUGUGAAUGUAUAUUUAAAUGAAUGCUUAAAUUCAAGGAAAUGUUUAUUAAAUAAAUUAAAAAUUUGACUAGUGAGAAGUUGGUGUUAUUAGGGGUUCAUCUAGAGUGGAGUCGAUACUCUUAAGAGCACGUCUCAAGAGCUCCAAGUAAAGGAUUGUCUCUACUCCUUGAAUGAUUUUAUUUUUUCAAAUUGAUGAAAGGUUAUAGCUUUCGUAUUAAUUGUUGGUUUUAAAACAAAGCAAGCCUUUGAGGCAUGAUAGUAGAUUCUAAGAAUUGAAUUGCUUCAAGGCAAGAAACUACAAUUUGAGAAUUGAAUUGCCUUCUGGGCAAGAUAAUAAAUUCAAGAGUGAAUUCCUUUCAGGACGAGAUAAUAAGUUUCAAGAAUUGGUUUGCCUAUAGGAUAGGAUGGGGAAAUUGAAGAAUUGAUUUACCUUCGGGGCAGGAUAAAGUAUUUCGAGAUUUGAAUUGUCUGUGGGCGGGAUAAUGUAUUAUAAGGAUUUAUCCUCUUUUAAGGCAAGACAUUAAAAUCCUAAGGAUUGAGUCGUUUGCUGGAAAGCUAUUGAGAAUGUUGUGAAGAUCAGUAAUAUAUGUUGUUAAACUGAGGAUAUAGUUAUAUAAAUUAAAUCCAAUAUUUUCUGAAAUAAUGAUUAUUUUUGUGUUUGAAGGAAACUAAGGGUAUCAGUAGAAGUAAAGAUUGUAUAUUGUGAAUGGUAAGGAAGGAUAAAUUUGAUAGUCGAUAUAAAGACUGAGAUCUAAGAGAUUAAAAUGUCCUAAACGUGUAAUUAUAAUAGUACAUGCAUACUUAUAUUUUGUAAUUUAAUUGUAUUUUAAAAGUACUUCACAUACAUCCCUCAAUAGUCUUUGGAUCAUCACAUCUUCAUUUUCUUGUGUAUUGUAUGAAUUGUGUUAGAUGUGUUUUAUGAAAAUAUUGGGAUUUAAGAAUAUAUUUUGAUGAGAGAUGAGCCCGAGGCCACCUUGAAUGAUUUGAAAGGAAUACACACAUUGUUUUUUUAUAUAUAUAGGAUUUAGUAUAAAAACAAAAAUUAUUUUGGUAGUGUUUCGAAUAGAAGAAAUACUACAAAAAUCUUAUAGAAAAUAAAUAAGUUUAGUAAUUGCAUAGUCUUUUGCAUGAUGAUCAGUUCUCAUAGUGAACUAAUAUGGUUAUCUUUACAUAUUAAUGCUAUGUUUUUUAAAUCGAUGCUUGUCUAAAAUGAAAAUAUAAAUUAAGGGUUGUUACACAUAGUAACCUUUAUAUUUUUUUUAAUUUUUAUUUCAUAAUAAGAUUCUCUUUAAAUAAAUUUAUGAUAAUAAUAUUUAAAUAAUUAUCCAAUUAUUCUAUUUUUUUCAAAUAAUAUUAAUGCUUGUUAUGGUAAUAUUACCAUUUUCUUUUUGAGUAAUUAUAUAUAAACCUAAUAUAUAAAAAUUUCUACAAACUUUACUCAUGAAUAUUCAACGAGAUUGAAAUAUUCAUUUUAUUUCUUUUUAAUUGUAAUUUUUGUAUAUUUUUUUCUCAAAUUUAUUUUUUUAUAUAUUUUUUAUACAUUCAUAUUAAAUUUAUCAAAUCAUGAUUUUUUUUUAUUAAAACUUACUUUUAUGAUAAUAAUAAUAUUUUUAUUUAAAUAACAAUACUUCUAAUAAAAGAAAUAUAUGUUUUUGUCAAUAAAACAUGUGAAUAAAGGAACAAGUUUUUUUGGUUAAAGAGAUACAUUUUUCUUCUUAAUUAAGAUUAUUUAAUUUUUUGAAUAAUUUUUUAUUUGCCUUCAGUUUUUAUUCAAUAAAAAACAUAGUUGGAAAAAAAAUUUAUACGAAAAAAUAUAUUAACAAAAAAGAUGAGAAUUUAGCCUAAAAAUCACAUUUUUUCUAUGGAAUUGAAAUCAUUGUUUUUCUUAAUUACAGAAAUUCAUGGUUAUUGUCAUAUAAUUAAAUGAAAAAAAAUUCAAAAAGCACUCAACAACACGAGAUAAAAUAUAUGCAUAUGCAUUUAUACUUUUCCCCUUGUAAAAAAUAUCAACUUUAUAUUUUAUUUUUAAAUUAAUGCUAAUAAUUUUUUAUAAUUUAUUAAUUAAUUUAUUUUUCAAUUUAUUUUAUUAAGGAUAGAUAUCAAGUUUUCAAUUUUCAAUUGAAAAUUUUCAUUAUAUUGGAAAAUAUAUUCACAACGCGAGUGCAUUCUUUUCUUACAUUAAAGAUUAACUUCAAAUUAUACUCACAGCAAAGGGCGGAGGCAUGUUAAAGGCUUGGUUGAGCUAUAGCCCAAGUCAAGAUUUUAUCAAUAUUUUUUGACUAGUUUUAUAUAAAACAAAUUCGUAAUUCUCGAUUGAGUUAUCAAAAAAUUCUGAAAAUUUGUGUAGAGCCUUCUAAUAUGAUGUUUUAGCUUAGGUUAAAAUUUCAAAAUUUUUAGAGAAAUUCAAAAAUUUAAUGAAAAAUCACAAUUUGACCAGUUUUACGUUAUUGGGCGUAAUUUUCAAUCCGACCAUCAGAUUGAGUUGAAAUUUUAUGAGAUCUUCAAAUAUAUUGAAUAAAAUCUGGUUAAAAUUUUAGGAUGAAUGGAGCUUGGUAGUGCUAACAAAAAAAAGGAUCGUCUAAUAAAAGCAAAACGACUCAUUAAAGGUAAAAUGGUUAUUUGCCAUUAAAAAAAAACAAAUCAGCUCUUCCUUCCUUUCAUAUGUUGCCGACUAGGCAUAAGCAGAAUAGAAAAGGAAAGAAAAGAAAAGGUGAGAGAGAAAGAGAGAAAAGUAAGGGAAAAACAUAAAAACAAAUCCAAGAAAAAAAUAUAAAAAAGUGAGAGAAUAACCUUGUAAACUUACAAAGUCCAACUUAUAAAAUACUUUGAAAAACAACUUCUACCACAAUAUCAAACACUACCUUUAUAUUAAGUCGUAACGCACAUCAACAUGUAAAACAGUCCGCAGCUUUUCAUAUUAUUUUUUGAAAGGAACAAAACCUUCUCUUCCAUCUAUCAUGGGCAACCAAAAUAAACAAAACCCCAAGUUUAUCAAAACCAAUACAACUACUGAAAGUCAAAUACAUAAUGGCUAGUUGCAUGCUAGCUAGUUGUCGGACUCAUCUAAAUUCUUAUGCAUUAGCAAAUAUGAAAGGAAAAACCAAAGACACAUGCGAGGGACAAUCCAAGAUUCAUGUAAUUUAUUACAAUCCAAUAUGAAGGUAGUGAUAGUGACAAGAAGUAUAAGAAUAUGCAGUAACAAUCAAGUGAAGAAAAGGAAAAGUUGCACUAGUUGUUUAUAAUUUAGUCACGUAGGGUUAUGAAUAACAAUAGUAGUUAAGAGUUUAAUUGAUGAAUAAGAACAUUGUAAUAACUGAGAAAUAGUUAGUUAGAAGUCUAUUAAAAAACAAAACAAAUAACAAUCAAAAGAAUGAUGAUCAAAUCUUGUAUACAAACUAAAUGAAAUAAAAUAAUGAGCGGAAAAAUUAAAAAUAAAUAAAUAAGGGAUAAAACAAUAGCAAUCAAAAGAAUUAGGACUAAAUUGGAUAAAAAAUUAAAUGAAAUAAAAUGUCGAGGGAUAAAAUUAAAAAAAAAUCAAUAAAAUGAUUUAAAAAAUUACAAUAAAAAGAAUAAGGACUAAAUUGAUACAAACACUAAAUGAAAUAAAAUACUAAGGGAUAUAAUUGAAAAUAAAAAUCAACUUAAAAAAGAAUUAAAAAUAAAAAAAAUAUAAAAAAAAAUGAGUUCCAAACUGAUAAAAAUACAAAUAGAAAAGACACAUCUAAUUUUUAAAAGGGUUAGCACAAAACCCAAGGCAAGGAGAGAGAGAAAAAAAAGGUCCACUAGAGCUCAACCGCUGCGUUGUCGUGUGCACAUUCUUGACCACAGAGAAAAGGAUAUCGUGACGCUUUCAACACUGUCAUGAAAGAUGGUGUUUGACCCUUAAAAGACACCGCAUGUGUCAUUCAAAAAACAAGCGCCUCCCAUUUACUAGUGCAUGCCUCCCAACACUUUCAGUUUCUUAAUUAUAUUUAUAUUUUAGACUAAAUUACCCUUUAUUUACAUUGAUUAUGACUAAAUAACCAUGAUGAAAAUAUAAAAAAUCCACUGGACGCCAGUUUUGGAUUUAUGCCUUUAAAGCAAUGUAGUCAUUCUACCAUGCUAUCAAAAUGUUGAAAGACUGAAAACCCCCUGGACCUUAUUUCAAAAAAUUUUCUUUAAGGGUAUUUAAAUCAUUUUAUUAUGCAUUUAUAAUGUUAAAAGACUGAAUUGUUCUCAAUCAAUAUGAUAAUGACAUGGAUCAUAUGAAAAAGAUUGUAUUAUCCCUAAUAACUAAUUAACUGAUUUUGUUUAAGAAGGGUAUAAUGAUCAUUUCAUUAUUCCAAUACAUAAUAAUGGCUUUUAGUUUUUUUUUAGUUUUUUUUUAAAUUUAAUCUCUUUAGAAUAAAGAUAAAUAAACAAAAAAAUCAUCAUAAGUUCGAAAAUAACAAAUCCAUCUCCAAAACACAGACACACACAUACAUAUUAAAAUCUACAAGUGAGAAUCUCAUGUAUGCUUCAUUUAUAAAUUUUUAGUGUAUGAACUAUUUAACUUGUAAUAUCAUUAGUUCUAUGAAAAUUAAAACAAGAGAGAGGGAAUUUAAAAAAAAAAUGUUAUUUUGUGUACAUGACAUGUCACACUUCACAAAUUAAAAAACAAAAAAAAAUGAUGUAAUGGAAGGGCCAUAUUUUUAAUGGAUGAACUAUGGUAUUUUUUUUGCACAACAACAUUGUUUAAGUACAAAUUUGACAAAAUAAUACAUGUUGAAAAAAUAUUUGAAAAGUAGUAUAAUUUGAACAAAGACGUGAUUUUUAAUCAUGUCUUUAUUCAACGACAUGAUUCUGAAUCAUUGUUACAUAACAAAAUCAACAUUUAGAAUCUCAUGUUCAAUUAUUAUAAAAACCUAGCCUUUUCUUCUUCUUCUUCGUUCUAUAGUCGCCGCUCAUCACCCAUCAAAACCUAAAACACCCAGCCUCUCUCGCCCCAAAUCACCGAAAACAACCACCUAUCAUCUACCAAAACACCGAAAUCUUCUUUCCCUCGUCUCCUCGCAUCUUUCUAGUGUUUUUUUCAAUAAAAUCUGUCAGCUUAAUAUCCUCAUUUAGUCUCCUUGCCAUAACCAUUGAUCAAACCACCAUAAGUCAUCGAUAAAUUAAGGUAAAAUCACUACAUUUCUCAUAAUUUUAUGGUUGUCAUUCUUAAAUUACGAGAUUCUUAAUUUUGAUUUAAUAUUGUUUGUGUGGUGUUUGAUAAUUGAGUAUUUUGUUUUAAUUGAGAUAAUCUAGAGUUUGAUUCAAGCAAUUAGGUAUGUUUUUAUGCAAUUGAUGUUAUUUAUGGAAUCAAUUAAGUUCAAAUUAGAUAAAUUAAGGUUUGUAAAAUAAAGAAAUUAGGGUUUGUAUUGAGUUUUAGGAUAAAUUGGAAUGAUUGGAUAUUUUGUUUGAAUUGAGAUAAUUUAGAUUUUAAUUGAUGCAAUUAUGUAUGUUUUCAUGCAAACAGUGUUAUGAAUGUCGAAAGAAUGGCAAUUAGGUUUUGCGUUAAGUUUUGGGAUAAAUUAUUGUAAUUGGAUAUUUUAUUGGAAUUAAGAUAAUUAAGCUAAUUUAGGUUUUAAUUGAUGCAAUUGAGUAUGAUUUCCAUACAAUUGAUGUUAUGAAUGUCGAUAUAUGGACGAUAAUGGUCUCACUCAUCUUUUUUUAGCAUGUUGAGUUGCUUGCUCGAAUCGUAUAAUGCUAUUAGUAUAGAUACAAGCGACACAUCGCAUGCUAUUAGUUGACGGGAUAAACACGAUAAUUAUAAUUGGAUGACCCAUAAUCUCCAUUACAUAGUGCAGUGGGAUGCACGAAGAGAUGAGAUCUUUAUAGAGGUGCAAUUUAUUACUUCAGAUGAUGAAUACAUGAAGUGCUAUUGGUGUAUAAUGCAACAUAUCAUCACACCAAACUCAAUGCAAGUUCCUUUAUGCGAGAACAUAGAGUAUGAAUCAUAUGCACCAUGGAUGCAAAAUGUUGUAAGUACUUCAUACAUUUUGUAAUUAAUAUGUGAUGGUAAAUGCAUUUUAUUUAUGGAUUAAUAACUAUAUUUGCUGAAAAUCUGGUUGACAAUGUGUUACGAGAUGGUUGAGAAAUUGUUAGUGGUCUUCGUGAGAUUGAAGAUAACACACUUGCUCAUUAUUAUGCAUUUUGUUAGUUUGACUCAUGUCGCACUACAUUUCAGAUGCUUGGAGAGACGAUGUUGUGUCGGUGUAUGAGAUGACUCAAACACUAGGAAGUCACGCUAUUGAUAAAGCUAACCCAUUGGCUCGUCAUUGUAGACAUAGAUAGACUAGGAUAUAUGUACAAUAGAAUUAUGUUGUGUUAUUUUCUUAGAGUCUGUUUAUUUUUGUAUUUCAAAAGCAUUUUUUUAAAAAUUAAUUUUAUUUUAUUUUUCUUUGUUUCAAAUUGGUUUUUUUUUGUGUGUUUUCAGAUCAUUUUGAUGCACUAAUGUUAAAAAUAUAUAUUUUUUUAAAAUAAAAUUACUUCGAUGCAUUUCUAAAUAAAAAUUAUUUUAAAAAGCAAUUGUUGACACAAUACCAAAUUAGCUCUUAGUUAUGCAUUUGUGUUUUAUUAUUCUUUUAUAAUUAUUUUUGACUUGUCAAGGUGAGAUUUUAAUAUUAUCUUUCAUAUUAUAAACAUUCAAAUUUAUUUUCGACGAUUAGAUAGAAUAUAAAAUCAUAAAUUUACAAGUGAACAUGCGAUCAACGAUAACAAGUUAUUUAUAAUUGCAAAACAAAAGUUUAUAGGUUAAUUAAUAUGGCGACAUUUACAAAUGAACGAUUAUGUCACAUUGUUAUGUUGUGUUAUUACAAAGAUCAAUUAACUAACAUUAUAAUAAACGAAUGAAAACAACGCUAAAAUAUUACAUCAAUGUAAAUAAAUUUUAAUGUUGCUUUUUAUGAUUUUUUAAACCUAACAAUGUCCUGUCUAUUUUUAUUCUGUGUUUUUGGGGUUUGAAUUUAAUAUUAGUAGCAUUUAAGAAUUACAAGUUUGUAUUUAGAAUUUGAGGUUUAGAUUUUAAAAUUUAAGGUAUAAGGUCAGAGAUUAUGAGUUUAGAUUUUGGAAUUAAGAGUUUACAGUUUAUUGAUGGGAAUUAUGACUUUGAAGUUUGAGUUUAAGAAUUUAUAAUUUAAGAUUAGAGAUUAUGGAUUUUGGGUUUGGAUUCAAGAAUUUAGGGUUUAUGGUUACAAAUUAUGAGUUUGGGGUAUGGAUUUAAAAUUUUAGGGUUUGGAUUUAAAAGUUUGGGAGGAUUACAAGUUUAGAAAAGAGGUUUGAAAUUAUAGUUAGUGUUUAUAGUUAGGGAUUAGGAGUUUGAGAUUAAAUGAGAGUUUGUAUUUGAGAUUAAAUUACAGUUAAUUUAAGGUUAUAUUAGCUCAGAGCAUAUUUAAAUUAAAGACGUGAAUCUCAAAUGUCAUUCGUGUGUUUAAGUCAAAGACGCAAACGAGUUUUCUCCGCAAAUGACGCAAACGAGUUUCGUGUCUUUGACUAAAUUUUACUGUUUCCUAAUACUUUUUUCCGCAAUGCUAAUUUACCAAAUUGUUUUGCCUGGGUGAGUAAUAAAGGAAAAAUACCGGGACCAUCCGAUAAAAGGAAGAACUUAAAAGAAAUUAAAGUACAAGGACAAGAUUAAAAACAAUUAAAAAGUAGAGGGAGGUACAAAGGAUUUGAGCUCUUUACAGUUUACAUACACACGAACUAGACUCUACUUCCUUGAGGCUUGAGGUUGGGGAUCUCUCUCUCUCGUCUCAAAAACCGUCACCUUAAACUUCCUUACCCUAUCAGAUAGAUCCACAUUUACUGCUACACUUCUCACACACACACACGUACCAAAAGUAAGUAUCCCUCUCUCUCUCUCUCUCUGAGUCUCGCCGUUUGGAUUCAAUUAUGGCUACCACCACCACCAUUAGAAGAACACCAAUUGUUUACGCUCUUUUAGCCUUCUUCUUGUUAUUACGAUUCUCCUCCUCCACGGAUACACCUCCUGAACAAUCACCAUCUCCAUCUCCUCAACAAUCCGAUUCACCAUUACUAUCUCCUCCUCCUCUUCUUCCACCCCCCUCUCUCUCACCAGAAACCGGAUCUCCCUCACCGACGACAAUGGCAUCCCCACCAGCAUCACCUCCUUCAGAUCUGACGGCUCAUGUGCCCGCACCGGCUGAGAAUGUUCCAGAUCCGGAUCCGUCGGUGGCGAGCGAUAUAAAUGUGAAAGCAGGAAAUGGGAGUGAAGACGAUGAAGAACAAGGGUCUGAGGGAAUGAGUGGGGGGAAGAAGGCGGGGAUAGCAGCAGCAGUUAUAGGGGCAGCUUGUUUGGUUGGCUUUGGAGGAUUGGUUUAUAAGAAGAGACAGGAUAAUAUUCGAAGGUCUGCUUAUGGUUAUGCUGCUAGAAGAGAGCUUCUUUGAAUUUUAUUUUAUUUUAUUUUAUUUUUUUUCACUCAAGAUUUCUGCAUACGACGACGUUUCCAUUUUAAUCAUUAUUUAGGUGACCAAAAAACAAUUGUACGUUGAUGUUAAUGCGAUAUAUUUCUUUGUUUUCUUUUCCAACAAAAAAAAAAUCAAAUAAAAAAUUAGCAGUGAAAAAUGUAAUGUUCCACAAAUUAUUUUGGAGAUUAAUGUUUUUGCACUAUACUCCACAAAAAUAUAUUAGAGUAUUAUAUAAAUUAUAUUAUAAUAGAUAAGUUUAAGUUAUUGAAUGGGAUGUAAUAGAAAGAUUAUAUAAAUCUGUACUGCAUUCUCUCUCUCUCAACAAUUUCGAGUAGAUAUGCUUACUACUCGAAAUUGUUGAGAGAGAGAGAAUGCAGUACAGAACUACAGAUUAUGUAAUUGUUGAGAGAGAGAGAGAAUGCAGUACAACAUUACGCUGACAGGUAUAUUUUCCGCUGUAGUGAUUGACUGUUGUGCUGUAUCAUGGAUUUCUGCCUUUGUUUAUUCUAAGAUUGUGGAGCUGGAACUAUCUAUCAGUUUACCCUUCAGCAGGAGGAUCUACCCAGCGGCCAUUAUCUUUAAUCAGCUGGAUCAAGGCGUCAGUGGCAUGCUCCAUUUCAAUUCCACGCUUUACCACCGUCUGACACCACAGAUUCCAACUUACCAUCAAUUUCACCCACCCAUCAAUCACUCGUUGAAGAUGAUAAACAAUAAACAUGGACAUACUUCCUAAAUCUCUCUGUGAGCAUGUCUACUCGAAAUUCAUCCUCCUAUCCUAAUAUAAAUCGGCUAAGGAAUAAUUGGAGAGCCUAAACAGUCACUGAAACAUCAACUAAAGAGCAUUAUUAGUACGAACAAUAUUCAUUACCUUUCCAACAUAAAGGUCAAUCUUUCCAGGAGCACCACCGACGUACCCAAAAUCUGCAUCAGCCAUCUCCCCAGGGCCAUUCACAAUGCAACCCAUGAUUGCGAUCUAUGAAAGGAAAUGUAUGAAGACAAAUUACAUUUUUUACUGGAAAAUGACAAGGCUAAAUAACAUUAAAUCGAAUGAUAAUGCAAAAGUAUUAGGGGAUCACCGAGACACCAGGCAAGUGUGAUGUCUUUUCUCGUAUUUCUGCACUUAUCUCUUGAAGAUCAAACAAAGUUCUUCCGCAUGAAGGGCAUGAGACAUAUUCCUGAUGAGAUUUCAGCAAUUCUAGUAAUCAAUGAAGACCUUAAUCUCUAAGUACGUCAACUCGUGUUUUUUUUAUGUUUUUUUUUUCAUUUUGAAAACAAACUUCAUACCGUCUUUGUAUUUCUCAUUCUGCAACCUUGUAGUAAGUUGAAAGAUGUAUUCCUGAGAAAAUCAAAAUCCUGGUCUGGGGCUUCAAUAAGGACACCAUCUCCUAGACCAUCUACUAAAAGAGCUCCAGCAUCUGUACCAGCACCAAUGACCAGGUCAUCCCUGCAAAGAGGAGAAAAUAGUAUAAGCUAAAACAACUGAUACAUGCAUCGCAUUCAAUGAAUAUUACAUGUUUCAUGAUCACCUGCGAACCCCUUUUGGAAAUUGAAUAUGGUGAAUCACAGGGACACUCAAAGCCUUGUCUACGAGAUACUCAAAUAAUCUGCAGCCAAGAUAGAGUUCGAACUGUCAAGACUAAGGGGAGUGUUCACAAGACAGCGAAAAACCCUGUUGCAGAUAGGAAAUAACACAAAAAACAAAUGAACAAUUAAUAGACGACUCAUUUUUAUCAUGUUGAGUCACUAGGUACACCCUAGGCAUUAGUAUGGGUCUACUCAGCAGUAUAGUUAACACUCCUGACAAAAAUGCCUAACAGGCCAUAGUAGUUGAAGCUUGAAACAAUCAACAACAAAAUGGUUUGAAAAAGAAAGACUUUUCUCAGGCAUACAUUAUCUACAUGUGGAUGUACUGAUGGUUUGGUAUUACCUUUUCAAUUAAUGACCAUAUUAUAAAAAUUAAAGUGAGUAGCAGAAAUACCUCCUUGCUGCAUGCACUCUGCCAAUCUUAUCCUCUGAAAGGGGUAGAACAUGAAGAAUCAUUGUGGCAUCAACAUGUUCGAGAAUUUCCAAUUCUUCACAGGGCUCAUCGCCACGUAAAGACACAACCAAGCGUGUACCUGAGAGGUAAAAAUUGAAUGACUCAAAGUUCUCAAUACAAUUCAGCACAGAAAAUAGAAGAAAUGAAGACAUUGAGCAUAAGAACCCAACAAAACAUGACAAUUUUUGAGAAGUGGUACCUUCUGGCAAAAGCUUGUAUGCACCAGUAGACAACUCCUUAAGGUUGACUAGAACCAUGGCAUUGGGUAAUGGCUUCGUUAGCUGCUCUGAUAAAGGAGCUAUUACUCCCAUACUAACUUCUAUCAACCUUUUGAGAGCUAGCCGCUAGUCAUGAUACAGAGUAUAAACAUCUAGUUAUUCUGAUUCUUUAGUAAAUUUGUCUAAUUCUAAAACGAGGCAUAACAAAUCAACGAUGAUAUAUUUUUUUUUUUUGGGGGGGUUGCUUUUCCCAAUCAAAUGAAGCAAGAGACAGUUAGGGUUCUUACAGCAUCGUUAUCAUCCACUGGUGGGAGCUCUCUCAAAAAUAUUGAGUCAACUGUUGCCAGAUCCUAGAUGCAAAUUUUUGUGUCAAUAAAAACAGUGAUGGAUUCAGAAAUCAUCUUCAAGCCAUUACUCUUUCAAUGCAACAGAAUUAGGUCAGAAGAGACCUUAAAAGGCAUCCCAACAACAAUCUUUGCUGCAAGUGACUUAUAGAGAAGUUCGGGUGCCUGGAAGGAGAAAAUUUUCAAUAAAAUCCAUCAUAUGCUUCCCUCCAAGUUAGAAAAGUAAAAUUAGGGGACAAUAGUGAAAGGAAAUAUAAGGUAAGAGUAAUACUAAGUGGUUACCUUCAACUGAUCUAAAGAGACUGACAUGAGCACGGAGCCAUCACGGUGCAGGACACCUCUAUAAUCCACCUCCUCACCCUGUAAUUACGUGAACAAUCAACUCUCAAUUUGCAAAAUCAUGAUCAAAUAAAUGAGCUAACAAAUGCUCAAAUAUCCAUAGAAGUUGAAGGACAACCUCCUUUUGCACUGGCAAUUGACCAGAUCGGCGCUGGAAAUCAAAGUAAUGCCUGUGCUUUUCCUCAAAUGGUGCCUGGUUGAAACAAUUCCUCCAAAAGUCAACCAAUAAGAUUGCAUAAAUUGCAGAAUUUUUACAGAGCACAAUUGUGUUAAUUUGAUGAAGUGCACCAUAUAACCUACCACUCCUUGCUGAAUUUCGGCUGCUCUCAUACCAAGAUUGGCCAACCUUCUGCAGGGAUCUAUCUCCUCUUCUGGUGGUUCUGUAAGUGAAACCCUAAUUGUAUCACCCAAACCAUCCUGCACAUCCAACAGAGUUCCUGACUUCUACAGUGACCACACUACAUCUAAUGUUGUCCCAGUGAUGAUAUUUAACUAUGAAGAAAUCAAUUUUGAUGGAAGAGCAAGAUCACACAAAUGGAAUGCACAUUUCACCACAUAAAUUUCCUUCUAAAAAUAAGCUACAGACUGAUGCGUUUUAAACAAUAUGAAAGUGAAAGUUCAAAAUUGCAGGAUUCAUCAGAAAAACGUAUCAUCAGGAUUCUAAAGGAUCCUCCAUUUUUUUAGAGCUUCCAAUUUGUGUUCUAAGGUUACCUGAAGAAGAGUCCCAAUGCCAAUUGCAGAUUUCAUCCGCCCAUCUUCACCUUCUCCAGCUUCAGUGACGCCCAAGUGUAAUGGAUAAUCCCAACCUUGAACAUACAUUUCCGCUACAAGUAGACGGUAUGCCUGGACCAUGACAACUGGGUUGCUUGCUUUCAUCGAAAAGACAAAAUUAUGGAAGUCCAACUUCCGACAUAUCCUAGCAAACUCAAAUGCAGAUUCAACCUGUUUGAUAAAAGCCAUAUGAUAUGAUGCUACUGCGUCUAGAAGUACAACAGAAAGAAGAAAAUCGCUAAACAUUAUGGGAGAAAAUAAUUUUUCACCAUUCCCCUAGGAGAAUCUCCAUAGUAGCUCAUUAUACGAUCUGAAAGACUCCCAUGGUUUGUUCCAAUACGCAUUGCCCUUCCAUACUUCUUACAUUUCUCAACCAAUGGAGUAAAAACCUGGCAUAGUAAAAAAUAGAAAUCAAAACCUCAGGUCAUUAUAUGUAAAUAAAGGUAAUUAUGUACAUGCUUAUAUUCAAUACUUAAAACUGACGAUUCCCGUCUUUACAGCUUAAUGUUUAUGAUUCAGUUAACGCAGAAGAGUGUUCUGCAUAUUCAUGCUUCUUAUUGAGAACUUUUUAUGGGUGACCAUUUUGAUAGAGGAGUGUUCUCAAUAUGCUCAAGUUCUUUCUCAUAGUCAUCUUCUGUGUACUCUAGCUUCUCAAAUUGAGCCCGCCUAUCAGCUGCAAUGAACCAUCUCAUUGUACUCUAGCUUCUCAAACUGAACCGCCUAUCAGUUGUGUUCAUUACCUAAAGAAGAAUGGAACAAGGUCCUUGUGGCUUACCAAAAUUUCCUGGGUUGACACGAAUCUUGUCAAAGCAUUCAGCUACUCGCAAUGCAACAGAUGGAGCGAAAUGAAUAUCCGCAACCAGAGGAAUAUUGUAACUGCAUAAAUACAACAGUUAGAGACAAGGUUGCUCUGCAUAAAAAAAAUGGAUCGAAGGUUUCUUAUAAUCAAUCAGACGUACUUUUAUUUAUUCGAAAAGAAAAGGAGCCUACUUUUUCUGCACAAGAGAGUUUUUGAUUUCAAAACAGGCAUCGGCUUCUCUCUUCCCUUGAACUGUUAUACGAACUAUAUCUGCUCCCUUGUCUGCUAUUCUCAUCACCUACCCAAAUAAACAGCAGUUAAUGUAACUGCCGAGAAAAAAGAAAGUAGUUCUGACAGACAGGCCCAAUCAACAAGAAGACUGAGGAAUUUCAUCAAAAUGAACUGUGAUGAGAAAUCAAUUAGAAACUCUUUUUAACAGACUAGCAGUGAAACCAGACUUGAUCAAUACCAGAUCCAGUCAACAUAUCAUCAUCAAGAUGGGUCUCCAUACAAAUGAUCACAGUUAUUUGUUUACUAAACCAUGGGUUCACAAAAGACUCCAGUUAUUUGUAUAUUAAGCCAUGAUUUUACAAGAGAUUUCUUCUCCUCGUCCUCCUCCUUUUUGUUUACUGAACCAUGGGUUUACAAGAGACUCCAGUUAUUCGUAUAUUAAACCAUGAGUUUACAAGAGAUAUAUAUAUAUAUUUUUUUAAAUUCAGUCAAGGAGAGAAUCUAAUGCCAGUCCUUUAAGCAGAUGUUGAAAUAGGAAGAGUUACCAUGGUUGGUCUAAUCUCUUGCUACGAUGGAAGAGCAAUCAAGCACCAAUGGUUCAAUUAGAAAGAGCUGAAAUGCAAGAAAAGUCAAAAGAACCUGUUCAACUGUCGCAGCAACAUCCUUGGUGUCAGUUGUGGUCAUAGUUUGAACCCUUACAGGAUGCUCACUACCAAGAGGCACAUUUCCCACCAGUACAGUGCGUGUUUUCCUUCUGACAGUCUUGUUUAUAGAUUCACAAUACUUUUUUCUUGGGACUGCAUUCAAAGAAACAAUAUGCAUCAGAUAUGUAAGAAAAACAUUAAAUUUUGCCCAAAUAAGUUUAGCACAUAUAAAUACAAAUAAAUCUGUUCUUCGUGUUUUCUGUGCACAUGUAUCUUUAGCAUCGAUCAUAUUUGGUCAACAAUGACAUUAAAAACAAGCACAUAUGCCUCAACUCAUCACUUCUGAUCAUAGGGUAUGGUUUGUUGUGGUACCUAAUAGAGGGCUCCCUUCUGAUGCAGGUUGAAGCUCAACAAUCCCAGGACCAGUAUUAGAGUUUUGAAUCAUUGAAAUUCUUUUUCUACCGGAUUUGAUCCUCUUUAUAUCACAAAUUCUCACGAAAUCCACGCUUUUUCCAAACCCUAAGCUUGAUUCCCUCAUCUUUAACCCUGAAAAUGAUGCUGGUACAGCCCCAGUCGCCAUUUCUACCUGGUACCUUGGCAAUCACCCAACCAAAACAAAACAAGACUCCAUAAUUUAUUUGUUUUCGUAGGAACAUCAAAACAAAACAACUCAUAUAACACAUGUUUCAUUUUUUAAAUCACUUAAAACACUGACUCAAGAAGACAAAAGAAAAGAAAGAAUAAUAAAAAAAAACUUUCAAGAAUAUUUCCAUAGCGAGUAGUGAACUUAAAAGCAAGAGAAAAUGAAUGAUAUUAAAUAAGUAAGCUGACAAUUACCUCCAAAAAAUAAAAACAGAAAUUAAGGUUUGAUUGAGAAGGAUCUGGAGAUGAAGAAGAAGAAUGAACCUGCGGUGGUAGGGAGUUCAGAAGGACUUCACUCUCUCUGUCUGUGUCUGAGGAUUCGAGAAAUCUUCUUCUUCUUUUUUCCGAGUGAAAACAGCAGCAGCAGAUAGAAGAAAUACAGAUUAAUUAUAGAACCAGACGACAAAUAUUUAUUUGUUUUUAACGAAUUCAUAUUCAUAUAUGUGCUGCUAAGCACGCGUCUGUAACACAUUGAACAACUACUAAAAAAAAAAAAUACCGAAUAACAAUUUUUUUUUUUUAAGGAAAGGAAUAUACCUUUUCUAAAAAAACAAAGAAAUCCAGAAUUUCUAUUUAGGUUUUUUUGGAGCAGAUGUAAAUAUUUAGGAAAUUAUCAAUUGCUUGCUGGUGAUAACAGAUUAAGAAAUUGGAUUUCGUGUGCUAGCAAAAACCAGAUAAACUAGGAAUCUUUCCGAGACCGUUUUACCGUAUUCCGGGUGACGGGAGCACGACCCGCCAACGAACUACAAAUAUAACCGCUAGUGUUUAUAUAUAUAUAAAAACCUUUUUUGAAUAAUAAUAAGAAUAAAAGAAAGCAAAUGGAUGAUAUAUGUGUAUACUUUAUUUUUAUCACAUCAUAUUCUCCAAUAACAAUUCUUCACUUUUAAAAUUUCUUAAUAUCAUACUAUAAACUGAUUAAAACAGGUUUCAUGCUUGCUUCUGAUAUAGACCCACUAUUUACGUCACUGUAACGACGUGAAAAAGAAUUAACUUGAGAUCUUGAUGUUUUUGCUUUCUUGCAACUUGGUCCUUGAAAUUUUAAAGUUUUUUGUUUUGAUCCUUAAACUUUGUUUUUAUCACUUUUUAAUCCUUGAAUUCUAAUAACAGAGAGAAAAUGUCACCGAAAAAUGAUGAAGAGAAAAUUUUUGGUUAAUUAUAUUUUAGCCAAAAAAAAAAAACUAAACUUGGUGUUAAUAAGUUUGUCUUGAAAAGAAAAAUUCAAUGGUGGUGGUUUUGCCCACCAACCAUGUUGAGAAAAGUAGGUUAAAACCCAUGAAUAUUUUUUAGAUCUGGUUUGAUUUUUGAUUUUCUUAGUUAUUUUAAAGUGUUUCGGGGUUUGAAAUGAGAUAAUUUAGGUUUUGAAAUAUUUUAAAAGUGUUUCCUGGUCAAAAUGGACUAAAAAAUUAGAUUUGAAGGUAAAAAUAUAUUUGGCCUAAUCUAAUUAAUGUUAUAUGCUGCAAAUUUUAUUUAUAUUAAAUGGAUGAUAUGUUGCCCACUUAAUAUUAAAAGGUAUAGGCAUGUGGGUUUGGUCUAGCUCAUAUAUGCUUGGUUGAGUCCUACUCAUGCUUGUCCUUUUUUUUAGGCAAAUUAUAUGGAUUUGGUCUCCUAGUCUUAUAAAAUCUUUUUUGAAUAAUUUAAAUAAAUAAUAAUAAUAAUAAUAAUAAUAAUAAUAAUAAAAAGCAAAUAGCAAAUGUAUGAUAUAUGUAUAUACUUUAUUUUAAUCACAUUAUAUUCUCUAACAUUCAACAUCCAAUUUUAAAUUUUUUUAAUAUCUUAUUAUAAAAUGAUUAAAAAGGGUUUCACACUCGCUUAUGCUAUAGGCCCAUUAUUCACAUUAGUGUAGUGCUACAACUACGUGAAAAAGAGUUAACUUCAAUCCUUGAUUUUUUUUUCUUACAACUCAGACCUUUGAAUUUUGAAGUAUUUUGUUUUGAUUCUUAAACUUUAUUUUUGUGGCUUUUGAGUCUUUAAAUUCUAAGAAAUGAGAGAAAAAGUCACUGAAAAUGGUGAAGAAAGAAAAUUUUUGAUUGAUCACAUUCUAACUAUAAAAAAAGUCAAACUUGAUGUCAUAAGCUUAUCUUGGAAAGAGGAGUGCAAAGGUGAUGGUUUUCCCCACCAAUCAUGUUGGAAAAAAAAGGUUGAAACCUAUACAAAUUUUUUAGAUUCAAUUUGAUUUUUUGUUUUCUUAUUUAUUUUAUGGUGUUUUGGGGAUUAUAGCGAGGUAAUUUAAGUUUCUAAAAUAUUUACUGACAACUUAACCAUACAUAGAACUUCAUUUUAUACUAAUAAAAUUAUAAGGCAAUAAAUGAUAUUUUUAACAUGUAUUUCAUUUACAUUAAGGAGGGAUUUGCUUUAUUCUUAACAUGUCCAUAAUCAUACUUUGGCAUGCUUAUCAUAUCAUACAUAACAAUAAUAUAUAAACAUGCAUUCUAGUAUGUCAUUCUAAUUAGAUGAUUAUGGACAUAUCUAAACUAAUUUUCUCAAGUUAUCAAAGGAAAUUAGGUGGUUAAAAUUUAGUGCUUCCUCUAUCGUAGGAUAAUCUUUUAGUGCUUCUUAAUCUGUGUUAACAAAGUAGACACUUAUGUUCUAGAGAACAUAUAUAUAACAAUUUGAUGAUCACUAAUGUAAUGCCUGAGUUCCAUGGACAUACUUUUUAAGCUGUCAUUGAUUCUAACGAACUUAUCCAUGCAUGUAUUCAACUUAGAAUUAAGUUUAAAAAUAUUAUGUCCUUUUCACGUUCUACCAUAGAAAUAUCGAUUGAAAUAAAUCCUUUAGUGAUUUUAUAUUUGAUUAGAGAGUUGUUAAAUCAUUAGUCUAGGACUUAACUUUUUUUGUUAGCUUCCUUAGCCCAUUCUCUAAAUUGGUUUUAUUUUUCAAGACAUGAUUGUUUUGCUUAAUCAAGAAGGGAACAUUGGUCUCUACUUGAGGCAAUGUAUUUUUAAGAGACUUUAUAGUUCUAUAUGCCUACGUAGGUUUGCUAGUUUGAAAUGUAAUAUCUUCUCUUACUUUCUCUAGUUUAGUUUCUAUAGAAACCCUACUUAGUUGAGGCUCUUUUAUCUCUUUGAUGAUUAUAAAAAUGUCAUUUUUCUAUUAGUGACAAUAUAUAUAUUCCUUUUAUAACUUAAAUUUUAAAUUUUCCAUUUCCAAAUUCUUAUCUUCCAUAAAAAGUCUAAAGUUCUCCCUAUCCUUUCUUCAUGACUUCUCCCCUAGUAAAAUAUAUCUCUUCUGUGUAUGCUUACGAUCUUUCUGUAGAGAGUUUUUUUCUUUAUUCAAUGAAAUAAGUCCUUGAUGCUAUUUUUAGCUCACUGAAUAAGUUGGUUUACUUCUGAUCUCACCAUCAUUUCAUAUUCUAGAAGUUUUUUUUAUAUAGCAUCAAAUCCCGAUCCCUAAUAUACAAAAGACUCCGUAUUUUUUCAAACACUUCAGGAACAACAAAAUGUUAGAAAAAGAACUAGUUUCUUCUUUCAUCUUUCUAAAGCAUUUGUUUAUAAAUAUAAAUAGAUAAAAAAAAUUAGUUUGGUAAGAUUCAAGAUUAUAUGUUGUUAUUCUGGAGCAUUUUAACAAAUAUGCACCAUUUCAACCAAACUAGAAUUCAUAUAAUUCAAAAUCACCACCACACAAACCCAUUUUGAGAUUUGGUAGUGUUUAGUGUUCUUAGAUCAAAAUUUCAUGAGACACCGCAAAAUUAUAUUGAAACUUGGAUAAAGAAAGACCCAAUCAAUUUAGUCAAGCUCUAUGAACGCCCGUUGAAUUGUUCGAUGGAAAAACUAAUGAGAAAGAUGUCGCGUUGGAUGGAAAAAACAAUGCCCGUCAACACAAUUUCAACCAUGACGACAGAUUUAUGAGUUUUUUUAUUCUAAUGGGUUGUUUUAUUAGGUAGCGAUUGAUUGCUAUUUUUAAAUAGAAAGGAUAGAGGUAAUGUAGAUAAAAAUAUAUUUUGUUAAAAGAGACAAAAACAUAAAAUAAAUGUCUUUGGGAUAAUUUUAGAGUGAAUUUUUGCAUUUCCAAACAUGAGGUACAAAGGGAACAAGUCUUUAGAGAUAAUAUUUAUUAUUUUUUAUUCCUAAAAUAUCAUUGUAAAAAACUCUCAAUUUCAAAAUUAUACAAUAAAGACAUGUAAGAAUAAAAAUAAUUAUUAUCAUAGUCUUACGACCUAACUCGGGGGUUGAUCCGGGGCAAAGCUCGGGUCACUAGUCGAGACAAAAACAUAAAAUAAAUGUCUUUGGGAUAAUUUUAGAGUGAAUUUUUGCAUUUCCAAACAUGAGGUACAAAGGGAACAAGUCUUUAGAGAUAAUAUUUAUUAUUUUUUAUUCCUAAAAUAUCAUUGUAAAAAACUCUCAAUUUCAAAAUUAUACAAUAAAGACAUGUAAGAAUAAAAAUAAUUAUUAUCAUAGUCUUACGACCUAACUCGGGGGUUGAUCCGGGGCAAAGCUCGGGUCACUAGUCGAGGCCCAGGUCAUGAGUUGGGUUGAUCCAAGUCAGUAUAAUAAUAAAAAAUAUUAUUAUCAUAGUUUUAAAACUCAAUUUGAAGGUUGAUCCGAGGCAAGACCCGAGUCAUGAGUGGGGUUGAUCAUUGACCCGGGUCAAUAUAAGAAAAAAAUAGUUAUUAUCAUAGAUUUAAAAUCCGACUUGAGGGUCGACCAGAGAUAAGGCCCAGGUCCCAUGUUAGAAGGAUCAACCCGAGUUGAUUUGAGUCAACAAAAAAUAAAAGUGGUUAUUAUUAUAAUUUUAAAACUUGAUUUGAGGGUCAACUCAGGAUAAGGCCCCGAUUACAAAUUACGAGGGUCAAUGUAGGAUAAAAAUUAUUUUAUCAUAUUUUUAAAACUCGACUCGGGAGUUAAUUGAAAUUAGGCCCAAGUCAUAGGUUGGAAGGGUCAACAUGGGGAGACACGAGUCAAUAUAUAGAUAAAAAUAGUUAUUAUCAUAGUUUUAAAAACCGACUUAGGAGUCGACUCAAAGUAAGGUUCAGGUCAUGGGUUGGAAGGGUCAACUUGACUAAUCCAAAAUUUUAAUUUUUUUCAUAAAAGUCAACAAGUUUUUGACUCGUGUUUUAUCCCGAGUUGACCUGGGUUUUGGACUAGGUUAGGUCGAGUCAAUCAUUUCGUUAUUUUUUCUUAAACUCAAACCAGUUCAGGCCUCAGAUCAACCCGUCAAGUCAGUCCUGAUUUUAUAGUUAUGAUUAUUAUAAUAUUAUUAAUUUCAACACUCGAUAUAAACUAAAAUAAAAAAAUAAAAUAUCGAAUAUUUUUUUUAAUAUGUAAAUUUGAUAACAAUAUAUAUUAAAGGUGAAAUAGAAUUUCUUAUAUUUUAUUCUAUCUUGUCCACCAUAAUCAAACAAGAUACAAAGACAAUCAUUCUAUCUUGUAUAUCACUACCAGACACAAUUCUGUCCGAGUCUUAUUUUUUAAUUUGUCUUGUCUUUUCUGCCUCCAUUAUCUUUCUGUCUCAGGAUAAUAACCGAACGCUAUCUUAAGAUUUGAAGAAAGGGAGAAAAAGAGAGAGGAGACUUUGGGUAUUUGAGUUUUGUUUGAAAGGAAAGUUUUUAUUGUAGGCUUUAAAAAUAUUUUUUAACAAAUAUUGAUUUUAAUCUCUUUAAUGUUUAAAUAUACUCUAUGUUAGCAAAGAAAACCUUAGUUUUUAAUAAUAAUCAAUUCAUACUUUGUAUAUCCUCAUCAUUUGAGGGUUUGAGUGUUUGAGAGUAGUAGUUUUUGUUUUUGGAUGUGUUUUAAAAAUAUAUUUUACUAGAAAAAGUAUUAGAUUUAUGUUUUUUUUAGUGUUUUCAAUUAUUUUGAUGGGAUGAUGUAUUAAAAUAGUGUAAUGAUUAUGAGAUGAUUCAUGAUUUAUUAAAAUAGUGGAAUGAUUAUUCAUAUUUAAAACACACUAGUAGUGUUUAAACAUUAUUAUUUUUUAUAUUUUAAAAGAAUUAACCUUGUGGGUGAUGGAUCGCGGUGCAUUUAGCUAGUAAAACAACUAAAAGGGGUUACAUAUAUUUUUACUUCUAUCACGUUAGUAUUUGGUUUGUUGGUCCCUAUCAUUAAAACUAUUUUGGGUAAUCUCAAGAAAAGAAAUAAAAAAAGGUUUCUCUAAUAUUUGGGGGUAAUCUCCCUAUCAUUGGUCAUCAAACUAUUUUGGAAGAUUUUUUUUUAGGAAAACCCACUAUUUAUAAAGAAUUUAAAAGAAAAGGAUGUGAUAGUAAUUCCCACACAUAUGAUACAAAUUAACGAUCCAUAUAUAUAUAUAUAUAUAUAUAUAUGUGUGUGUGUGUGUGGAAUCUUUACGUACGUUACGCAUGUAAUUGAUGCAGGACAGCCAUUAAUAAAAAACUUACCAAACCAAUGCCAACUUAUGAUCGUAUUUUGCAACCAAACACAUUUCAGUUUUCUAUGAGCGCGCGCAUUGGCAAAUGAUUUCAGUUUUUCCACUUUCUUUUUAUGUCUUAAAUAUGUUACAGAUCAAUUGUCAAGAUAUAGUAGUAGUAGGAAUGGAGUUUGUGUGCAUGUGUGAAAGAGUGGAGAUUCAGGAAUUCAAUCUUAAAUUUUUAAUGACAAACUCGAAUCACAAAAAUGACAAUUAUUGGAAAGGUGUCACCAUCUUGAUGAUCAGCACAGGCAUACGUUCAAAUUCAGCUCGACCGAUCAGCAAUGUCUCACUCUCACAUACCAUUAAUUGAUGUGUCACAAGGUAAACACCAGAGCAGCUAUAUACAUGGCAACCCCAAAGAGUACAAGAUUAUGAUGCAAAACAACAAUUACCCCGUCAGAAGCAUCCUUGGGAGCAACAGGAGACUCUGCAACAGGCUUUGCUGGUGCUGGAGCUGGAGGAGCCGGUGGAAAAAGAUCUUUAGGAACUUGCACUCUGUCGACCUCAUAAAUAGCAACCUGCUUGUCCGUGUAUAUAGUAUUUGAUAUGCUUGUUUUCGUUAGCCCUGAACUUAUUUUCACUGAAUUAUCACUGGUGCCUAGCUUAUCGUGAGUGGGAACUUACUAUCUGAUCCUGCCAGUGUUUUUACAGGGUUACUUAGAGUCUGGAAAUCGGAAGUUGAAAGAAAUCUCGGUAGUAUGUGAAAUUGCACAAACUCGAGCUUUUCUCUAUCGUUUAAGGAGCCUACAGCUCCAGCAACUUGGCUUGAAAAUGCAUUAUCAUUUGGUAACCAUCGGUUGAGCUGUUAAGCUGGGAGAAUAACUGGGUAUCCACAUGGGUAGCUUUCAUCAGGCGGACAAAGGAUAAGAAGCGGCCAGCUUUUAAGAUCGAGGAUGUUGAUGGUGUCUGUUGGGACAGCUGGGGGUGGCCGUGGCAAAGAGCUAGGGAGGGUGUUCUACCUCUAUAUAUAUAUAUAUAUAUAUAUAGUAGCAAGCUAGCCCCAAGAAAACGUGUUGUGUGCAAUUUAGUUUAAAGCCAGUAGCUAAUCUUUGUCAAGAAAAGGUACUGCGAGGUAUCCAACUGCUAAAACCUUUGCUAGUUAUACAUUAUCUAAUUACUUUGAGAGGUGACGAAUACUAAUAUGAAAAGAUAUUAAUCAUGACGAUCAAUUGUUAUACAUUACCUAAUCUCUGUAAGCAACUGGUUUGCUUGCGAAGGCAGCAAAACCAUGAUGAUAUUUCUAGUGGGUGUAAUGGGAAACAAAAGGCGCUGAGGUCUGUCCGCAUCAAAAAGGUAUAGUUAGCCUUCUUUGAGAACUAAAUACCCAAUUUAUGUUAUAUCCUUAGCUACUAAAAUUUUAUGGCGACUAAGUAUCAAGACCAUAUUAUAACCGUAGCCAUCGUUACUACAGUUGCUAAGUAUCAUCAUAAAAUAACAACACUAAUGAAAUUUGCAGCAUAUAAACAGUGAUACUAACAUAGUCUCAUCAAAUAACAAUAAUAAACCCCCCUUGGAUCAUAAACCAAAGACCCAAAACAAAACCCAACUAAAAUUAAAACUCAAAAUAUUUAGUAAAUCUUAAACAAUGACUAAUAUAUGGGCUGCCAUGAACCAAUUUAAAAAUAAAACCCAAACUAAAAUUAAACAAGUCCAAAAUUAAUGAAAAAUAAUAAUAAAAAAAACACAAAACCUAAAUACUAACAUAGUUCAACAUGAAACAACUUAAAUAGCCCAAAAUAAGUGCCUUCCUUGUUUUAAAACCCUUUAUAGCUUAAAUUAGUAUCCUAGAAGGUCAAAGAUUGUUGUAGCCGCCUUUAGUGUCCCAAAUAGACAAGGAAAACUUGUGUUUUAAUUUCUGAAUUAAUUCCUUAAUAACAUGGAAUCCCUGUAAAACAUGAAAAAACAAUAACAAAAAAUAUUUUAUUUUUGUUACCGCCUCUAUUGCUCUACCACAUGGAAACUCCUAAAAAAUAAGCACAUAAACAUUAUCGUCAACCCCCCUUUUCUUAUAUAGUUAGGAUAUACUUAAGAAAUCCUUCUGAUAAAAGAAUUUAAAACAUUAAUUACUCCUUGCUAAACUAGGAACCUUUGCUGCUAAAACCCACGUAAAUAAGCUUUGCUUGAUGUUAUUUGACUUUGAAACACACAACAGCACAUGAAUUUCGUUUUUUUUUCUUUCUUUUUAGCUUAAUGUUUGCAAUCGCCUCUCUACAUAUACAUCCGUAGUAAGAUUAGAUUCCGAAUGAAAAGUAGAAGCUAGAAGGUAUAAGAAUAUUGAUCAAACAGGUUGACACCUAAAGUUCUUUCCGAUGGAGUAACACGAAAUUCUCAAAAUACUUACUCAUAUAAAACAUGAAAGUAAAAUUAAGGGAGAAUAUGAGCAAAAUUAAAUCCAUUCUUAGUUCAUUAAUCGCAAACUUGAAUGGUACAAAUUAAUGUUACUGACAGGAAAUUGUCAAUUAUUCAAAAUCAGUACUGAUCACCAUAGAUCUUUAUCACCAGCACCAUUUGCAAACUCCAUAAAAUCAUAGUAUAGUAAUAAAAACAAGAAAAGGGACCCAUGUUACCCCACUCGGGGGUAUAUAUCUCAUGAAAAGAUUGCAGCAACCAUACAGCUGACUGCAAGGAGCAAGGCAUUAUUAUGCAGAAUAAGUGGUGUUAGAGCACCAGAAAUAUCCUUAGGAGCGGUAGGACUUUCUACACCGGGAGCUGCCUUCCUUGGCUUUCCCAGUUCGGGUGCAGGAGCAGGAGCAGGAGGCUUAGGAGUAAAAAUGUCCAAAGGAAAUAGCACCUUAUCAAUUUGAUAAAUAGCAAACUGGCUAUCAGUGUAUACGGUGCCGGAUAUGCUUGUAUUUGUCAGCCCUGUAGUUAUGUUCACGAAAUUCCCUGUGGUGGUAACAUUCAGUGUUACCCUGGGACCCGUUCCCGCCUGUGUCCUUACAGGAUUACUGACAGUCUGGAAUUGGGAAGAUGAUAUAAGUGCAGGUAGUACAUGAAACUUCACCAACUCAGUCUUGUCUUCAUCGCUUAGAGCGUUUAGAAAGCCCGCUUUGAGGUUCGAAAAUGCGCUGUCACUUGGUGCAAAGAUUGUUAUUCCAUUGUUUGUCUUGUUCAGCUCCUUGUUUAACUCAGUGUCUUCUGUUGUAGCUUGCAUUAGGCGGACGAAGACAGUGAAGUGGCCAGCCUUUUGCAGGAUUUUAAUGACGUCAACGGGGCCAGGUGAUGUUGCUACCUGUGCAGAUGGUGCCUGUGAAGGGGCCGUAGGCGGUGCCUUCACUGGGGUCGUAGGUGGUGGCAUUACCGGGGCUGCCGCCGGUGACUGACCUGACGUUUUUGUACAAUGGAGAAAGAAAAGGAUAAGAGAGAAUAAUAAGCUUGAAGAUUGUUGCCUCAUCCUACACUCCUUGGGAAGAAUGCGAAAAUGUUCCAAAUCUUAAUUGGAUUGCUACAAGCAAAAAUGUUUGAUGUUGUGAUUUGAGGAGGACAGGGAGGGUUGGUUUUAAUAUUGGUGGAGAGAGAAUCAAGUUAGGUGCAGUGUGUAAUGUCAGUCACACAAGCACAGAAACUAGUUAUCCUUCUGCUAAAGGUACAGAGCAUCAAUUCGAGAGAGAGUACUGGCAGCUUGUAGUUAGCAUGACAAAUCAGGAAAACUAAGAGGAUGUUUCAAGCAGGUGUGCAGACAAACAAUUUAGACAUGAAUCUAGAUGGAGAUUGUCUUGUCCGUGUCAAACAGGAACCAUAGCUAUAUUAUUCACAUAAUCCUAUGGCCAUGAUUUAAUUAAUUACCUGAAGAAAGUGCACACUUCACUUUUUUGGUUUUUUUUUAAUAUGAAUAUUCAUAUUAAUUUUUACAUAACUCGAUUAAUUUUACAGGUUUUAAUAAUAAAUAGAUUCCACGACGAUCAUGACGCAUAUAGUGCAUGCAGGUUCCUUUUUUAAGAUUUUAUUCACCGGCUGCAGUUAAUAGUGUUUUUCAAGUAAUGAUGGAUAAAUCAAUCGAUUUGUUGCUAUAAAUAUAUUGGAAUAAAUCCUUGAGUUCUAAUUAAAUCAAGUUUUUAUAGCUAUAUAUAUUGCAACGAAACUGCUCCUCAACAUACAAAUAUUAAAAUUACAUUGGAAGAGAAGAAGUAUAGAAAAGAAGGGAAAAAACUUGAAAACAAAAAAUUAAUAACCUUACAUUAAAAAAAUAAUUCUGGAAGGAUUUCAAUGAAUUAAUAACCCAAACAAGGACAAGAAGUUAAGUUGAGGUAAACAAGCUUAAAUGAUACUUGUAACAAAAAAGCAAAAGUUAGAACAAUAUAAUAUCUAGCUCUUUUUUUUUUUUUUUAUCAAGCAUGGAUUGCAUUUAAUGUUGCUAAUUUAAAAAGCUUUAUAAAUAUGGUUGAAACAAUUAGAAGAUAUGGACCAAAUUUGAAACAUUUUAGUUAUCAUGAACUUCAAGUUCCACUCUUUAAUUAAAAAAAGUGUUGGAGUAUACACAAAUAAUUUAAUGAAAGGAAAUAUAGAAAAAUAGGUAAAAUAUGGUUGUUCCAUUAUGUCAAAUGGAUGGACAAAUAGGAGUAUAAGUAUAAUCAAUUUUAUGGUUAACUUUUAUUUAGGUUCAUGUUUAUUAAAUCUAUUAAUGGAUCAUUUUUUGUAAAAUCUAGUGAGAAGACGUUUGAGUUGAUAGAUUUGUAGAGCAAAUUGAAAAAAUCAGUGUUGUCCAAGUAAUCACCGACAAUGGAAGCAAUUAUAUGCUAGCCGGUAUGUAGUUAUUAAUUAAUUUAUUAAUUUGCAUGCUGUAAUUUAGAUUUUUAUUUCAGUUAUUUGAUUAAAUAGGUUAUAUUUCUAAAAUUUCAUGUUUGGAUUUUUUUAUUACAAAUAAGUAAGUUGUUAGAGGUAAAGAGAAAGCAUUUGUAUUGAACUCUAUGUGUGGAUCUUAUGUUAGAAGAUAUUGGAAAAAUUCCUCAAGUCAAGAAAACUUUAGAAAGAGCCGUUAUUAUUAUUGGCUUUCUUUGAAUUUACAAAGAAGAGAGAGUUGGUGAAGCAUUGAGCAACUCGAUUUGCAACAAGUUUUCUUACUUUGCAACAAGUAUACAAGCAAAAGCAUAAUCUUAGAAACAUGUUUACAUCAGAAAAGUGGGCAAUGAGUAAAUGGGCAAAGGAAGCUAAAGGAAAAGGAGCAACUAAAAUCAUUUUGAUGCCAUCCUUUUGGAAUCAUGUGGUCUAUAUCCUUGAUGGGUCAUCUUGUGAGAGUUCUUCAGCUUGCAGACAAUGAGAAAAACAUACAUUUAUGAAGCUAUGGAUAGGGUUACAGAAACAAUCCAUAACUCUUUUCAAUAAUAAUGAAGAGAAAAACAGACAAAAAUAUGAUAUCAUUGAUGAAAAAUAGGAAUGUUAACUUCAUCAUCCAUUGCAUGCAAUAGGCCAUUACUUGAAUCCUGAAUUCUUUUAUAGUGAUUCAUCUAUUAAAACUGAUCAAGAAAUGGCCAAUGGGUUGUAUCAAUGCAUUGAAAAAUUGGUUUGAUAUCAGCGGCGGAACCAAAGGGAGGCCCCAAAUUUUUUUUUUAAAAUAUAAUAAAUAAUAGAUUGUUUAAUAUUAAAUUAUUAUUUUAUUAAUUAUGUUUGCUUUUAAAGCCAUAUCUCCGUAUCUCUAUGUAAAAGGCCAAAUAAGCUUUUUAAUUUUUUUCCCUUCCUUUACUGCCCCUCUCUCUUUCUUCUCUUAAUCUCUUAAACCCUAACAUAAAAUAUUACUAAUACGAAGCAUAAAGGUAAAGCAAAGCUGCUGCCAAUUAAUUCUUCAUCAAGGUAAUUAGUAUUUUUUUUUUGUUUGUUAAGAAUUUAAUAUAUAUAUAUAUAUAUAUAUAUAUAUAUAUAUAUAAUUCUGCCUUUUUUCUUCAAAUCUACUAGUUUUACUAUUUUUUAUUUCUUGUUAUAGUGAAUAUUGUUUUUUCUAAUUAAUUGGAUAUAUUUUAUGGGUUUGUUUGUUUCGAUUAUGCUUGGAUUUUUUAUGUUUUGUUUUUAGCAGAGCCACCAAAAUUAUCAAUUUUUUCUUACGUGUACUUUACUAUCACCAGGUCCAAUAUACAAUUAGACACGAUCUUUCUAGCCAAAUUGAGUUCUUUGAAGAGCGUAUACUCAACUUUGAUUCAGUGUAAGUUUUCUUAUUUAGGAACCAGUAAUCCUAUUUUUUAUGUUAGAUAUGCUUUUAUAUAUCAAUUUCUUUUUUUAAUAUGUUAAUUUUACUUUUAUAUGUCAGUGUUGUUUACAUUUAAAAAUUUAUUUUUGGUUCUGAUUAUUGCUUCAAUACAUUGUUAUUUUUAUUUAUUUUUUAAAUAGGAAACAAUAAAAAUUUAUGAUGUUUUGAUUUUAGGUUGAACCAUGAACAAAAUAAGAAGAAUUGAUUCCUUUUUUGAGAAAAAGAGGAAAAAUAUUGAUAACUCACAGCCUAGUGAAUCAACUCCAAUGUGUAAUGUUGAAGUUAUAGUUGAACAACCCCAAUGUGCUUCAGUUUAUGAAGAACCUGCAUUGAUUAAUGAGCAGCCUCCAACUAGAAUCGACACUGCUCAUCUGAUUAGAGAUCCAAACAAUCGUCCUCAAAUUUAGGAAUACCCAGUUAAUCAACAAGAUGAAAUUAGAAGGGCAUACAUUAAUUUGGGGUCAUAUCAACCUUUGAUGUCUGAAUAUCCGCUGACUGGUAAAAAACAUCCUCGUCGAUUUCAGUCUCAUUGGUUCAAAAGUUAUCCAUGGCUUGAAUAUUCAGAGAAAAAUACUGCAUUUUGUUUUCCUUGCUAUCUAUUUUCAAGUAAGUCAUCAGGAAAGCCAGGAUCAGACACAUUUACUGUUAAAGGAUUCAAUUGUUGGAAAAAAAUUUUAUUGAUGGGGAACGAUGUGCUUUUUUAACUCAUAUGGGAAAAAGUCCGAAUUCAGCUCAUAGAUUUGCUACCAGGUGCUUGGAAAAUUUGAAAAAUCAGUCAUGUCAUAUUGAGAAGGUAGUUAAGAGGCAAACUACUCAAGAAAUUCUAAAUAAUCGAUUGCGUAUUAAAGCUUCAAUAGAUAUUGUUCGUUGGCUCACAUUUCAAGCAUGUGCUUUUAGAGGACAUGAUGAACGUCCAGAAUCAAAAAACCGAGGUAAUUUUCUUGAAAUGUUGGAACUUUUAGCAUCAUACAAUGAACAAGUAGGUGCUCUUGUUUUGGAUAAUGCUCCACAAAAUGCUAAAUACACCUCGCAUCAAAUUCAAAAAGAAAUUUUGCAUGUCUUUGCUAGAAAUGUUCAGUCUUCAAUUCGUCAUGACAUUGAUGAUGCAAGAUUUUGCUUAAUUGUUGAUGAAGCUCGAGAUGAAUCCAGAAGAGAGCAAAUGACCCUUGUUAUAAGAUUUGUUGAUAGAAGUGGAUUUAUACGAGAACGAUUUUUGGAUAUAGUUCAUGUCAAAGAUACAACUGCUUCAACUCUUAAGAAAGAGAUUUCCUUUGUUUUAUCUCAUCACAAUCUUGAUGUUCAAAAUAUUAGGGGCCAAGGGUAUGAUGGUGCUAGUAAUAUGCGUGGAGAGUGGAAUGGAUUGCAAGCUUUAUUCAUUAAUGAUUGCCCUUAUGUAUAUUAUGUACAUUGCUUAGCUCAUCAAUUACAAUUGGCUCUUAUUGCUGCAGCUAGAGAAAUAUCUGAUGUUCACACUUUCUUUCAGAACUUGAUUUUUAUUAUUAACAUUGUUAGUGCUUCUUGCAAGCGUAAUGAUGAAUUACGGGCUUUUCAAGCAGCUACAAUUGAACAUUUAGUUGAUAUUGGUGAGAUUGAAACGGGUAAAGGAGUUAAUCAAGUAGGUGGUUUGCAACGACCUAGAGAUAGCAGAUGGAGUUCGCACUUCAAAUCAAUUUGCAGUUUGAUAAAAAUGUAUGGGGCAACUUGCUUGGUUCUUGAAAACAUCGCUUUAGAUGGAUCUACUUAUUAUCAACGUGGUGAUGCGGCCUUUUCAUUUAAGUUGCUAAUGUCAUUUGAUUUUGCAUUCAUCUUGCAUAUAAUGAAGAAUGUUAUGGGAAUUACUGAUGUGCUUUGCCAAGCUUUGCAACAGAAAUCUCAAGACAUUUUAAAUGCUAUGCAUUUGGUGACUACCACAAAGACUUUAAUUCAGAAGUUAAGAGAUGAUGGCUGGAAAACUCUUUUAGAAGAAGUGAUAUCAUUUUGUAAGCAUCAAGACAUUGAAGUUCCUGAUAUGGAUGCUUGUUUUUCUAGUGUGGGACGAUCUCGUCGUAAAACAAAAUCAAUAACAGUUGAGCAUCACUAUCGAGUUGAUAUAUUUACAGCUAUCAUUGAUCAACAGUUGCAAGAGCUAAAUAAUAGAUUCAAUGAGCAGGCGAUCGAGCUUCUUAAGUUGAGCACAGCUUUAGAUCCUAAAAAUAACUAUAAAUUAUUCAGUGUUGAAGAUAUAUGCUUACUUGUUGACAAGUUCUAUCCUGAAGACUUUUCUGACCAAGAAAAAACUCAUUUGAGAUUUCAGUUGCAGCAUUAUGAGCUUGAUGUACCCAAUCAUCCAAAGUUAAAGAAUAUGUCAUCGAUUGCUGAAUUAUGUCAAGGAUUGGUUGAAACAGAAAAAUCAACAAUUUAUCCACUUGUUGACAGGUUGAUUCGGCUUAUUUUAACUCUUCCUGUUUCGACAGCAACUACUGAACGAGCUUUUUCAGCGAUGAAGAUUGUUAAAACAAGACUUCGCAAUCAGAUGGAGGAUGAUUUUCUUGCAAAUUAUUUGAUUGUCUAUAUAGAAAAAGAAAUUGCUGAAAGAUUCACAAGUGAUAUGAUAAUCGAUGAUUUCUACUCUAUGAAAGAACGACGAGCACAAUUAAAAUAAAUAUGUAAGAAUCAUUCUUUAUUAUUUUUUACUUUAUUUCAAAGUUUUAUCAAACAUAAAUAAUACAUCGCUUUAGCUAAUGUUUCUUAUAUAUUUUGUAUGUUUAUAUUUGAUAGGUACAAAGACCAACAAAAUUAAAGUGAUGAAUAUAUUAUGAAGAUGAAAUUAACUUCAUAGCUUUGACUCAAUUUGGUAUUGUUUUAAACCUCUUAUCUUAUACAAAGAUUGUCAUAUGUUUGUAGUUACUUCUUUGAAUAAAACUAAAUCAUACAGUUUUUUUUAACAAUUCAUAUACAAUAAAUUAAAAAAAAAUUAUAUAUUUUUAUAUUAUUUUGGCCCCCCCUAUCAAAUAAUCCUAGCUCCGCCCCUGUUUGAUGUUCAAGAUAUAAUCACGAGUGAGUUGUCAGUAUACAAGCGAGUAUACAAGCGAGCAAAAGGACUUUAUGGCAAUUCGAUUAAGAAACACAGUCUCUGGAUAACAUUUAUUAGUUUCUUAAAAAAAUUAAGAUUAUUACAUUCAACCCUUAAAAAUUUAAAUUAUUUGUUCAUAAUUUUUACAGCUGAAUGGUGGACCUUGUUUGGAAGUUCCACUCUAGAUUUACAAAAAUUACCUGUUAAAAUCUUGAGCUUAACUUGUAGUGCAGCGGGUUGUGAACGUAAUUGGAAUGUGUUUGAACAUGUAAGCACUUUGACUUUUUUCUUAUUAUUCUUUUAUCAUAAAAAAAAUGAAUUGAUCUUAACUCUAUUGUACAUUGUAAUUCUACAGAUUCGCACAAAGAAAAGAAAUCGACUAGAGCACAAAAGAUUACAAGAUUACAGGAUUUAGUGUGUUAAAUACAAUCAGGCACUAAAAGCUAGUCAUGAUUUGAGGAAUGUUAUUGAUCUUAUUUCCUUACAAGACAGACAUAUUGCAAUGAAUGGUUGGUUGGGACGAUGGGUGCUAAUAUAGAGAAAAUAUUGUGAUAGUAGAUGAAUUGUUUGAUGGAGACACUUUAACUUGGGGUGAUGUCGCAAGGGCAACAAGAGAUGAAGAACCAAGAACCAAAACUAAUUAAAAGACAAAGUUGAGAAGCAUAGGAACAUCGCACAUGAAGAAAGAUCAAGUUCUAGUUUUAAGCAAGUGCAAUAUGGUUUUGGAGAUGAUGAUUUGGAUUACAAUCAUGAAAUGAAGGAUAAGAAGGACUCAAGUGAAGGAGAGGAAAGCAUAGAUGAAGAUGUUUUUGAAGAUUAAUGAAUAAUGAUGAUGAUAUUUAAGUUUGUAUUUAAAUCUAUUUAGCUAUUUACUACUUUAAAUUAUUGUAUUUUGUUGUAAGAGUGAAAAAUGUAACUUUAUAUAACUAUAUUAUGGUAUUUUAUAUUUUCUUUUGAUUUUCUAAUUAUCUAAUCUUAAUUGGUAUAUAUUUUAGAUUUAUAUAUCAUAAUAUAUAUUAUAUUACAUGUAAUUUUUCAUAUACAGGUUGAGCAUCUUGGUUCAUUCGGGAAUGCUCCUAGCACCUCAAGCAUUCUCCAGGCUUGGCCUUUUUUAGUGGCUUUCACCUUUAACAACACUGCUACAAGGCAUAUAGUGUAUACACUAACAGGUAAAUCCACAGCCAAGAGAACAGAACAGGUAAAACAGUUCUAUCAAAUUUGAAAUAUUUAUCACAAUGAACGAUUCACUUAUUUGAUCUACCAUGAAACCAGAUCGAAGGGAAGAGAGUAUUUCCUAUGAACCAGAUCUUAUGGAGAAGCACUAGAUUCUCCAUGCAGACACUCAUAUCAAGGGACAUCCAGGUUUUGGAGGUGGAUUUGGGAAGGGUUUUUACCGGUCUGGCAUGUCCGAAAAACAAUACCUUGUGGACUUCUAUAUAAAAACUGUCUCUGUCAGACUAGGUCUAAGCAAACAGCCCACUAAAAAUUAUACAGACUAAAGCAAUGGAUACACUUAAUAUCAAAAAGGAUAAUAACAGUUAUGUUGAGAUCCUAGAGCAAAUCAGAAGGUUCAGAUAACAUCGAGGAUAAAGAGAAAAUAAGCCAUGUCAUGCAGCUUGUUUAAAAUUCCAAAAUAUUACAAGAAAAUAAGCCAUGCCAUUCAAGUUGUUUAAAAUUCCAAAAUAUUACAAGUGAGGUAAUAUAUUAUUUGAGUUUUAAUCAUAGUCAGCCUCAGAACAUGUCCCAUAAAAUGAUUUAGAACUAUUGCAUGUACAUGGCUCAAAACUUGAUAUAAAUGUUCAAUCAAUAGCAAUGAAACUAAUCCAAAGUCUUAAUGCCUACGUGAAUUAAGAGAAGCAACCAGAGGUCCAAAUGUCUGGUCCACAGCUUUGUUCCAAGAAAGUUCGAACUCUGAACGAAAUUGCUUUCCAAAUAUGGGCUCUCUCAACUGUCAGAAAAUCGAAGUUAAGACUAUUAGAAAUUUAUGAACACAAAGGUUUGACUUUUCAAAGGAAAUACAGUUGAAUUGAGCUUUUAUGAUAGCUAAUAUAUUUAAUGGUCAAAAGUUUCCAUUAUCAUAUGGGAAGGAAGACCCACACCAGAUAUGAAAACACAGAAGUAUGCAUGGCAGGUUACAGCAUAUGAAAGCACAGAUCUCUUCUUGUAGAUAAAAUUUCUAUCACAGUUCAGUGAAAAACUCUGUUAAGAGACAAGUGUGCCAUCUGACUAAAGACAGAGUCGAAGAAAGCAUCUUCAAUCAAGGCGUAGGUACAAUUGUUGUCUAUUGAUGAUGAAAGAGGUCUGUAAAUCAUUUUAAACACCAAAUGUAACAGAAAUACUAGACUCUAAUGCCAUUUGAGACCCCCAGUAUCCUUGUAUCUCACUUGACAAGGAGCUCAAUCACAUCAGCAAAACACCUCACACAUCUAGAUAAUUAUCUCCUUCAACAUGUUGGUGGGGGGCAGAGAUUUUUUUUGAAAAUUAUUACCGUUAGAAAAAAAAUAUUGGCAAAAUAACACAUGUUAAAAAGUCAAGAUUCGAAAAAGCAUUGUCCAAAGAAGAGAGGUGGCUCACUUGACUUUGAAUGGCAUGAGUAGCCCACUUCAGUCACUAUUGAUGAACUUUUUAGUGUCGUUGAAUUCGUUUGUCGACAUUUUUCCAUGGGUACCAGGGGUGUCGUCAUCAAAGCUUCAAUGCCUCAGGAGUCCAUUCUUUCUUUUUAUUUUCUCUCUCUUCAUUGGAAUUAAUGUCAACCUAUUUUAACCAUUUCUUUUCCAACAACAACUAUUUUAAAUAUUGUUAUUCUCAACCGUGAUAUUUACCAAAUUGUGUUAUUUGCCAAAACUUUUCUAUCUAUAUUAUUUUGCCAAUAUUUUUUCCAAACUAUGAUAGAAAGGAAAUUUACUCAGGGACAGGAUGUCAACUUUUGACAAAUUUAAGCUUGCAGAUAGAGCUUUGGGUUCAUAUAGACAGCUCAGCCCUGAAAUUGCCAUGAUGGUUCCAAGGAACACAAUUUCUAAAAUCUAAUUAAAUUUCUUCCCACUUUUAGUUCACAGAAGGAGAUGACAGAAAAAUUGACAUUUUUGGGCCUUGGAAAAAAGCUUAUUUGUCCAUGAGCUAGUCUACUUAAUAUAAAGCAACAAUGAGAAAUGAGUUAAAAUGUUGAGUUUGUCUUAUGGGCAAUAAAUUUUAAAGAGACAUCUGAUUGGUUCCAUGAGUUGAUUGAACAUCUCAAAAACCUGAGAAGCAACAAAAAAUACUCUAGUAAUGAGCAACCUUCCCUUCUAAACGAACCAAGCUAAAAUUCCAAUCAGGUUAUAUUUAAAGUGUGAUGAUACACAGGAUCUGUAGGUCUUAAUAAUUUCUGUUUAAGCAUUGAAACGCCUUCCUUGGCACAGCUCGAUCUUGGGUUCUUAGUUAGUGUGUUUGAAGGUCCGAAAUGCACCGUAGUAAUUCUAAAGUAUCAAUAAGGACCAUAUUUCAAUUCUAGCAACCAAAAGUCUCGUGCAUCAUAGAACUGAAAUCCAAGUUUUGGUGACGAUAUGCAUAUAAUAAAAAUGCACUCGUAACAGAUUAUUAUGUUAUUUAUGUAAGUAUCAAACCCCCCGUGAUCCAACUGAUAAAAUGAAGACGAACAAAGUCUCUUGUGGCAUUAGUAUUACCAAGCAACUUUGUGUUGCAUCAGACAAUUCUAGAUGGUGUUAUUGUGUGUGUAAACUACUAACCUAUCUCUUGAAGAGAAUGCUUGGGGAGGACCAGAUGUGGAAGUAUUUCAGACAAUUCAACAAGCCCAUCUCAUUAAUAAAUUUAACAGAAGAAAUUGCAUGUCCUAAUCCAGAUAACUCUCUCAUUUUGCAACUAAUUUAAAGACACACUGCCCCUCCCUCCCAUGCAUGGAAAUAAUAAGGAAUCCAAUUUCUCAGAGAUUGAUUGUUCUCAUAAACAAGAUUAUUGAUAAAAAUAAAAUUCAAGCAAAUGACGAAAGAAUCUACUAGGGAUUCCAUUUUCAAGAAAAUAAUUUCAAAAACAACCUGGGAUUGAGGAUGUUCGGGUGAAAUAGAUUGAUAGAUGCGCUUUCGUUGCUCAUAAACAAUGAAACCCGCAAACGCAGCUCCCAAUGCCGCGCCCAGCAGACGCUCCUGCCAAUCCCCAACAACAACAAUAUAUUAUUAUAUGAGCAUAAUAACUUGUUGAUUUAGAAGAAAGAAAGAAAGAGUGGAUUAUUACUUGAGCUAGGAUGCUGAUCAUGGCGCUGCUGUAUUGUAGUAAUAAUUUGUUAGAUUUUGAUUUUGCAGAAAGAAAGAACGGGUUGUCUGCCCUGUUCUGCUUGUUCGGGUCGACAAAAACACAACACAGAAGCUACACCACCUAUCCCAUUAACUUGUGCACUAUGGGCCUUCUUUUGCUUUGGCCCAGCCUCCUCUAGUCUCCCACAACUAUGCCAAUAGUUUAGCGGAUCAACUUGAAAACUUUCAACUCGACUUUUUUUUUUAUCCCGAGUUUCAAAUUAAAGUUUCAAAUUAAACUUUGUAGAAGUUAUUAUAAUGUGAACUAAUUGACUUGAAAAAUUCAAAAGUAACCAGAUAACUGGUAAAAACUUGGUUUGCCUUUUACAAAAAAUUUAAGAUGAUAUUUUUAAAAAAUACAAUAUUGAGUCGACAACUUACUAGAUCGACCUGGGUUUCACGACUUAAUCCUCCAAACCCACAACCCAAGUCCUAGACUCCUUUUGGUUUAAUAACUUUAUUUUCUGAAACUAUUUUUAUUUAAUUAUGUGAUAGAAAAAAUAAAUAUUCGCAAAAUCAAGCACUAACUCGACGUCAGGAAAUUUGUUAGAAACCAUGAUAACCUCAUUUAAAAAAAUAUAGGAAUUCACUUAUAAUUGUUCUAAAAAUAUAUUUAUUUUGAAUUUUCAUCUUUGUCUUUUUAACCAAAUAAAUUUUCAUCUUUGUCUUUUUAACCAAAUAUAUUUUUACCUUUUCUAUAAUUAUUUCUUCUAUUUUGGGAUAUUAACCAUAUGCAUCCCUAAAAUUCACUCAAUUUUAAGAUAGUUAAAAGAACAAUAAAUCUUUUUAUAUACAAUAUUUUCUUUUCCUACAACUUAAUGUAUCAAUUCAAAAGUUUAAAACUUUUCCCUUAUGGUCAUAUAUUUUAAAUUUUCAUAUAUACUAAUAGUUAUAAUGCAUAAUAAACUUUCAUUGUAACAAAUUUUGACAAUUAGAUCAUGCAACAAUAUCUUAAAUUUAAAAAAAAAACAUGAACCCUUUAAAAAAAUGUUCAACACUUAGAUGAAAAUAUAAAAUUAAUAUUUUCAUCCACAAUGCAUACAAUUUUUUAUUUUUAUUUUUGACAACUUGAAAUAAAUCACUUGGAACUCAAUACCUUUUUUUUCCUCUUCGAAUAAAACAAAUUUAUAAAAUAAGUUGCACAAACAAAAAAUAAUUGUAGUUAAAUUCUACUACAUAUGAAUGAAAAAUCUUGCUUGAAUAAGGCAGUGUUUGUUUUUGCAGUCCAAAUAUGUUUUUAAAAAAAUUAAAAUUUUUUAACCCAGGAGUUUGGAUCUGGCAAACUCAAGCACGGGUCUGGAAGACCUAGGUGUAGGUCUGGCAUGAUUGCCAGACCCACACGCAUGAGCCUAACAACUAUGCUAGAUCCAAUCAUCUUGGGUUUGGCAACCAUGCCAGACCCAAGGUACUUAGGUAUGACAAACAUGCCUGAUUUGAGAAACAAUAAACAAAAAUGACAAUUGUACACUUUAGUUGCCACGAGAGAGAAAAGAAAGAAUAAACACUAAUAAUUGAUCACUAACGGCAAUUCAAUCAUUAUCUAUCUGCAUGCGCUACACCAUGUGGAAGAGGGCACAGUUGUGCUUCCAGUUUGAUGGCGAAUGGCUAGAUUUGAACACCGGGAAGCAUCAUACGCGUCUCCUUAAUGGCGCGGGCGCCGCCCACUAGUAGGGGUGUGAGGAACACGCACCCAUAACUUUUCAAUUAAAAAAUAAUAAAUACAUCGUGAAAAUACUAAAAUGCCCUCAUGGUCCUCUUAAUUACAUAAAAUACUCAAGUAAAGAUACCAAAAUACCCCCAAAGGCAAAACUUUUUUUUUUGUCUUUUCUGAGGCUAAAAACGCUAUUUGACUAUAUUUGAAAAUUGAAAAAACCUAAAUACCUUUGUAGAGAAAAGCUAAAGAAACGUUUAUUCACUUGUGAAAAGAUGAGAAAUUAAAAGUGAAAUCACUAUUACAAUCCACAAUAAAAGAUCAUGCGCUCCGCAACAGGUUAAUAUCAAUUUUGUUUUAAAAUUUAAAAAAAUAUUAAGAGUAUGGAGAAUGUUUUAAUAAUGUUAUUAAACUUAAUAAAAUGGAUUAAUUUUUAAACUUUCACUCAACUCUUUGCCAGACCCAAGUAACACGGGUCUAACAACCAUGUCAGACCCAAGCAUAGACCCAGGCUACUUAGGUCUGGCAACCAUGUCAGCCCACGCGACUUGGGUUUCGUACCCAUGCCAGACUAGAGCGCUUAGGCCUGGUAAUCAUGUCAGACCAUAGUUAUGAAACCCGACCUGGGGGUUAACCCGGCCAAGGGACGGGCCUCGGGUAGACUCGGGAAAAAAAAUUGAUGUUUUAAUAUUUCAUAUAAAAAAAUUAAAAAACAAUCCAUGUGGAUAUAAGCUAAAAGAUUAUUUCAAAAAGUUUUUUUAUCCCAUAUUGAAAAGAUAUUAUCUUAUCCUAUUAAGUUGAAGUAUUUAAACCAAAAAAGUUUUUUUAUCCCACAUUGAAAAAACAAAAAAAAAUUUCUUGUGAACAUAAAGUAUAUAUAUUAAUGGGUUUCAAAUCUCACAUUGACAAAAUAAAGCAUUCUUCUAGUAUUUAGAUAAUGAACUUUGAUAUGGGUUAGUAACCAACUGAAAAAGAUGAAAAAAAAGUGGUAUUUGACUAGGAGGAAAAACACAUUUAAAAAAAAAUAGGUCUCUACCGGGUUCUGCUGGGUCACUCGAGUCCCAGGUUGACUAGCUGAGUUGGGUUGAGUCUGAUAACUAUGCUUAAACAAUAAAAAGUGAGCCUGAGAGUGUUAAUUAUAAUUAAUUUCAUUCUUCUCUUGUUUAAUAAAACUAGUUAAUUGAUUCUUAAAUUUUUAAAAUAUAGAUUUAGGUUUGUUUUUACACUAUUAUUUUUUAAUUUUUUGAAUUUUAUUUUUGACCCAAGCGUCUGGGCCUGGCAACCAUGUCAGGCCCAAGCUCAUGGGUAUUGCAUGGGUGCCAACCUGCCAGUCCUAAAUGCAAGGGUCUGAAAUGGUUGCGAGGUGCAGACGUUUGGAUCUAGCCCCAUGAGCUUGGGUCUGGCAGCCAUGCCAGACCCACGUGCCUCGGCCUGGCAUGACCCAAGUGUCUGGGUCUGGCAACCAUGUCAGACUCAUACGUCUUUUUUGAAAAUAUAGGAAUUCACUUAUAAUUGUUUUAAAAACAUAUUUAUUUUAUAUUUUCAUCUUUGUCUUUUUAACCAAAUAUAUUUUUAUCUUUUCUAUAUUUCUUUCUUCUAUUUUGAGACAUUAACCACAUGCAUCCCUAAAAUUCACUCAAUUUUUUUUAUUAAUCUCUAAUUUUAGUGAAUAAAUCAUUUAUAAAAUUGCACAAAUUAAGAUAGUCAAAAGUAUAAUAAAUCUUUUACAUAUACAAUAUUUUCUUUUCCUACAACAUAAUGCAUCAAUUCAAAAGUUCAAAAGUUUUCUCUUUUGAUCAUAUAUUUUAAAUUUUAAUAUAUACUAAUAGUUAUAAUAUAGAAUAAAUUCUCAUUAUAACAAAUUUGGAUAAUUAGAUCAUGCAACAACAUUUUAAAAUUAAAAAAGCAUCAAUCCUUUAAAAAAAUGUAUAGCACUUGGAUGAAAAUAUAAAAUUAAUAUUUUCAUCCAUAAUGUAUACAAAAAAUUAAAAAAUUGUUAUAAUGAUGAGUUUUUUAUUAUAUUAAAAUAUUAUUCUUAAGUACGAGGAAUAUAACAACUUAUGACCGCUUAUAUUGAAGUGUUUCAACCAACCAAGCUGCAACAUAAAAUUAUUAUAAAAUAACUAAAAAAUAUAUUAACUUGGUUGACUGUCACGUGAUCGUUAAACCAACUCCAUAUAUUUUAGUUGGCUUGUUAAUUGUUAAUGGGACUCUGCACUCUUGCAUUCAACUGCACGCGAUGUGUUUGGAGUUUUACCAGCUAGGUUUCCUGCCAAUCCUCUUCUGUGCUGUCCUGUUAACUUGUAAUUAUACCCAAAUGGAUCUUCAUCUUCUGCAAAUAAAUGAAGUGGAAGGUAAUGAUGCUAUAUGAGAUAAUGGUUCUUGAUUUAUAAUACUGAAUCCAAUCUGAUCAUUAUCACGAAUAAAUGAAAGAAAUCAAAUGUGUAAUCCAUGCCUCUCAAAAUGUGGUGUUCAUCAGAUCAGCUGUUACACAUCUAUUCUAACUAAAUUUUAGUAGUAUAUGGUAAUGAAAUUUAAUGUAAUAUAAUGAGAACAGAAAAUUGUUAGUGUAUGCUUUUUUAAGUACUCUGAACAGGGAAAAAAAUGAAGGAAAUUGUUGAGUGUACGUGUGGGUAAACCUUACAUGACCUGUAGGAGUUAUGAUCAAUAGGGAGAUCUUUUAAAGAUUUAUUUGUAUAUUUUCUCCGGAAUGGAUUAGUCCAGUCAGGUCGUCGAACGAAAUAGGCAACCAUUCCUGUGGAUUCAUAGAGUUUUUUUUUUUGGUUUAUGAUUUGCUAUCCUUAUGGUUGUGAUGGCAGCAUGCCCUUUUUCAAGGUGUUUUCAUGGUUUCGUUCAUGCUUGACUCUGAAUCACUUCUCUCUAACCCAACACCUUAAAAUUCUGGAUCCUGUGAGUGGACUUUCUACGGCUUGGAUUGGAUGUUAUCUUCCUAACUGCACUCAUAUCAUCCGAAGUUUUAAACGAACAACUUUACACACAGACACUAAAAAGAUUGAAAUGAUUAACAACUUGAUGACUAGUUAUAAUUGUAAAAUACCACGCAAUAAUCACUAAUGACACAGUAGAUAUACACUCGAUGCCCAAAAUCAGAGAGAGAGAGAGAGAGAGUUGGUAAGAGUCAUUUAGACUUAAUUAGGGGAUGGCCACAUCAAGCGUUAGGUUGAUCAGAAUUGGCUCGAUUUAUGUUGGCUUUGCGUGUGAUCGUUACAUAGUAGACUCCCAUAGUGAGAAGCACUGCAAAUGCCAAACCAAGUAUAACGCCAGCAAUACCACCAGCCCCCAGCUGAUUUCCUCCUCUCUGGGAUGUUGAUAUUUUACCUUGUGUUUGAUCAGUAUCUUCUAACUGAGCUGCUAGGGGAAACGGCGAACAACUAGACGAUGCAGCGCAUGGGUUCUCGGUAUUCGGCUCUUGUGUUUUGGGAUGGAAGAACUCAACCGCUGACGGUGAGAAAGCCACGGGUUUCUCAUAAACAAGGCCGUGAGGAGCUCUAUCCUGGGCUCUUGCGAUGAAUAGAAUGGUUAAGGAGGAGAGGCAGAAGAGAAAGAAAGAAGCUAUGGAGACCAUACUGUAUUGUUUUGUUUGCUCUGAGUAUCCAAUUCUGAGUCGAAAGUGAAGCAGCUGUAGCCUCUAGCUGAGUGAAAAUUGCAGUGUGCUUUGAACAGGCAUUUAUAAGGUCAUGUGAAGGGGGUUGUUGCUUGGUAUUGAAUUUUCGGUGAUGAAGAUCAACCGGAGAAAGGAGGGAACAAAAUGAUUUGUGAUUAUUCCAAUCCUUUCCUGGAGUAAUAUUGCCCUUGUCAAUGUCUACAUGUAAUCUGUCACAAGCUUGUUCUGUGCAUGAGUUGUUGUUCUUGGCGACGUGGCUUUCAAAAUCAUGUUACUUUGAGUGCCUUUUAAUACAAGAACUUAGGAGAGCAGGACAAGCGACGGAAGUCAUGAUUUCUUUAAUUAAUUCCUGAAAACUACUUCAGAUGAAUCCAUCAAGAAUAUAUACAAAUCUUCAAGAUUUUCCUCUCUCUUCGUGAAUAAAAAAUGGUACGCAAAUCAAAUCAAAUUCUUAUAUUUGUAAUCUAUUCCUCUCAUCUCCCCUUCGUACUCAAUUCCUCUUCUCUUCUACAAAUUCAGGUCUGAGAUUCAACUCCAACAUAAAUUAUCUUCUCCAAAAAAAAUAUUUCUUUUGUUAAAUCAUUAAUAUUUAAAAUCUCCAACAUUUUUUGCGAUUUGUAAGCAAGUCAUUAUAGCUUUUUUCAAAAUUUUCUUUAUGUGAGUUACUAUUCACAUCAGUCCUAUUUUUUUAAUAUAUAAUUAACUUUGUUUAACUUUUAUCCAAUAUGUAAUUAUUUGCCG